AGAAUAGUAUUAUAUUUUUCAUAAAUUUUAAAUAAUAUAAAUUUAUAUUUGAGAGUAAAAUUAGUAUUAUAGUAUUCUAUAAGUUUUUAAUUUAUACGAACCAAACGAUGAAAUGUGAAUAACUCAUUCCAAUUCCCAAUCUACAAAUAAACCAAACGUCUUGGGGGAGUGGGUCAUUCCAAUUACCAUUCCAAUUCAUUCCCAUUCCAUUAUCCAUUCCAAUUCCACCCUUGAACCAAACAAGCCCUAAGGGCAUGAUUGGUUCACCUAUUUUAGACUAUGGAAUCGGAAUGAAAUUCAUUGAUUCCAAUAGUUGCCGUUUGUUUUAUAGGAAUCGGAUUCCAAUUCCCAUUCCAGUCCGGAAUGGGAAUGGCCAAAUCCAUUUAUGAUCCAAUCUGACUUUGAAUUUCGGAUUAGCUCAUUCCAAAGUAUACUAUUCAAAAUCCUCUUUCAUCAACACCCACCUCCUCUCCCUUCAUCACUUUCCUUUCUCUUAAUCAAAACCCUCUGUCAAAAAUUUUAAAUUUUCAUUCCGAUUUCCAUUCCAAUAAUGAACUAAAUAUUUUUGAUCAUUCCAUUUUCCAUUCUAAAGUAAUCCAAUUUCAUUUUCCACUCCUAUUCGAAUGAUGAACCAAACAUGCCCUAAAAUUGAAUGCAAGUGAAGGUGCAAUAAUCUAGUUUGCCAAAGGGGGAGGAGAGGAUGUUGAAGGGUGAACAUCAGCAUUUGCAGGAGGGCAAGGAAAGACAAGGGGAUUUAUAAGGUAUAAAGUUUGAGUGCUAAGCUCUGCGAGAACGUCUCAUUGCAUGGGAAACUUCCGAUUCACUGUAAUGUAUUAAUUUUGCUUUUAUCCAAUGAUUCGUUGAGUUCUUUUUAGUACUAAAACUUAAAAAAAAACUUUUAAAUUCUAAAAAUAAGGAUUAUAAUUUUCGAAUAGAUAAAAAAUGACACGUAACGAUGAAUUGAGACUAGCUAACCAAUCUUUUUUUUUCUUUUUUUUUUUUAUAUUUGUGUGUGUGUAUAGAGCAGGUGCUUGAGACCAUCAUUAUGGAAAUUUUAGGCAUUCUAAAGAAUCUAAACAUGAGGUGGUAGUACUAAUUGUACACAAAAGUCCAAGCUCUUUAAAUGUUAACCCACAUGCAACUAUGUCCCACCUUCUUCUCAAUGACCCAUCAAUUUCAAUCUCCAUAUAUUUUAUUUGCUUUUCUUUCAUUAUUUUCUUCUAGGAAAAAAAAUUUCUUAUAAAUAAUGCAGAAAACUCAAAUUUUAAAGCUGAAUGCCAAUCCCUAAUUUCUUAUCCAGUACAUCACUUGUCGGCCGCGACUUGCCUCGUGAUCUGCCAUCCAUAUAUCUCUACUUUAUACAUCCAGCACUCAUGUAUAAAGAAAAAUAUUUUUAAAAACUUAUUUGACUCUGUUGUAAGAUAUAAUAUCGUUUAAUAAAGUAGUUUAUAAGGCGCAAUAAGUUAGUUUGUCAAAGGAGGAGACUGAGGACUCGACUUUAAACAUUUGUAGUGUAGGUCACAAGCACUAAUCACUUAUUCCAAAAAAAACGUACCGAUAGGAAAGACGCACUUAAGCACUUAAAGGCUCAGUCACAGUGCUUACGGGCUUCGAUCUGCCUCAACCUAUCUGCACUUUAGGUCUAUUACUAUUAGCUCUGUUAUAGGCCGCAGCCGUAUUGAACAAGUUGGACUCAUCCGACUUAAGUUAUUAUUAGUCUCUUGAAUCUAUUAUUACAGAACAAGACAGAGGGUGCUAUAAAGAGGGAAGUGCAUGGACCAUUUUUGUGGAAAUUGAGCUUCCCAAAUAUUGAUUGAGGUUGGAGUUGUAAUUUGUGCACAAAAAAGUCUAAGCUCCUCAGAGGCAUCCCACAUACAAAUAUGGCCCAUCUUUCUAAUGCACCACCAGUGCCAACCCCCACCUCUUAAAGCUGAAAAAAAAAAAAAAAAAAGUCUCCUUAGGGGAGUAUCAUGUGUUACUGAGAAAAUUUUUUCUGUCACAAUAAUUUUAUUUAAGAUGGCGAAAAUACAGAAAUUUUUUAUAAAUACUAAUCCUUUUACUUUUUUUCUCUGACUUUUAAAAAUCUAUAUAUUGCCUCUAUAAAAUUUCGAAAAACAUUUUCAGGAGGUUAAGACGCUAAUUAAGAGGGUGAAAUGAUUAAAUUGUUCUUACUUAUUUUAUAAAAAAAAUAACUUUUUAGUUAAUUUGUUAUUUUGAAGGAUAUUUUUUUUAUAAAUUACAAGAAAUGGACGGAACACUGAUGGAAUUUUGACUUAAAGGGAACUAAUUAAAUGUAUCAACUUAAAAUUUGAAAAACGUGAAAUAUAGGUUUUGAAAAGUUAGAAAGAGAAAAAUGACAAAACGAGUAUUUUUGAAAGAAUUUUCUAUAUUUUAGCCAUAUAAGAAUAAUAAUAAAAAUAAUUAAUCCAAAAUGUGCACAUUGCAAACAAGCAUAAGAACAAUGUUUUUGAAACACCAUUUGAAAAUAAAUUUAUUAUAUUUUCCUUAAUUACACCCUUAUAGAUAUAAACAUGACACAAUGGAAUUGGUUUCAGAUAUAUUUUAUAUGGUAUAACUUUCGCAAAAUUGAGGAGCAAUGUUAGUAUAUAUAGUGCGAAAGAUUUUGAUUAAUUUAUGCAGAGAUGUGCAGAGAUGUCAUAUGAGUUCGUCAACACAUGAAUUAUUUGUAGAAAAUCUUUUGUCGGUGACCAAAAGCAUUUCCUUGAGCCAUUUUCAAAUGAAGAGAGAGAGAGAGAGAGAGAGAGAGAGAGAGAGAGAGACUAUUAGGCAUGUUUGUUUCGUCGAAAGUAGGAGUCAUUUUCAGCUAUAAAUAUCUACUUCUAUUAUUUGGCUCAUUGUAAAUUAGUUGGCUCAUUGUAAAUUAGAUUCACCUGUAACUCUAUAUUUUUCCAAAAUAUCAUAAUUAACUUCGCCUAGGUAGUGCCAAAGUCAAUUACAGAAGAAAAAAAGAUAAAAAAAAUAAUAAAAUAUUGGUUAAUGCAACUUUUUUUCUUUCAUCCUCUAUGUACUAAUAUACAUUUCUUUUAGUAAAAUAAAUAACAAAAGUUUGUAAACUCAUUGGCUUCUUAUCAAAUAAAUAGCAAUAAAAAAAAUUUAUAUGAACUUCAGUUCAACUGAAAGUAAUUUUUAAUUUAAAAAAUUCUCAUCAAUCGUAACAUAAUAUUCAGUAAAAUUCUCAUCAAUCGUAAUAUAAUAUUCAGUACUAAAUAUAUCAACACAUCAGGACCUGCUCCUUUUCUGACCCCAAAAGGAUUUCACACUUCAUCCAAUCCAAAUCAGGAAAAGAAAGAACAACAGGCCGAGGUUGGACCAUUUAAAAUUUUUUAAAAAAGUAAAAAAUAAAAAUAAAAAUAAAAAUAGUAAAAAAAGCCCAAUUAAGUGCCCAUUAAUCACUAUCAAACUCAAAUCAUCUCUUCUUAAUUAUAUAUGAUCAAAUAUUAUUUUGCGUAUUUUCUUUUUCAACACCGCGACCCCUUCUUGCACGAGAGUGCGCCGGCCGACACGGUGAUCGCGCCGACGAGGGACGACGGCCGGGCGCCCAGGCUCGACGCCCUGGCGUAGCUCGACGAGGCACCCGCGCCCGAGGGCGUGAAGAAGGCGCCGUUCAGCAUCAGGUCGCCCUCCGAUCGCCAGUUCCAGUCCUUCCAUUCGCUCUCCGACGCAAACUCACGCUUAGUCACCUGCAAGCACAAGUAUCCUAUCAGAUUGAUUUAUCACAUAAUAUGAUAUCAGAAUUAAUCCCUAAAUUCUCUCAUAUGACUGCUGCCUCAGAAUGUACUUCAACGUACAGUUAAUGAUUGAUUUCGCUUUUUAUAUAUAUAACAAUUUAAUAACAAUUUUUGAGAGUCGAUAUAAAUUAGCUUUUAAUAUGGUGAAAACAUCUAAAAGAAGUGCAAAAUCGAUGAUAUUGAUCUCAUGAUAAAGUACAUAUUUAUUUUUUAUACUUAAAAAUGUUUUGCACCGUAGAAAAAUUUGUAGUGUACCACAUAAUCAUGUGGCACGAAUCACGAGAAAGAUUUUUCUUCUGGGACAAAUAUCUAGAACCAGUUUGUUUGUCCACGAUACUGAGUACACAAUAGUAUACUCCUUUAAAAAAAAAAAAAAGUUUCCCUAGAUUUGGUUCACCAUGUCAAUUUUCACCAUAUAUAUUUUACCACUAUUUCAUAUAGAUUUAUAAUUUUAAAGUAAUUAUUAAAUUCAGAUAUAAAAGUUUAUAAAAGUAAGUUGGCGGAUGGCCAUAAUAAUAUUCGCAAAUAAAAAAUACUAAUUUCAUUAACUUUAGUUAAAAAAGAAAUCUCAUUUACUUACUUUCUAAUAUUUUACACGAUUAGUAUGAUAUUUUAAAUGAUUCCAGUAAAACUUUCGAACUGGCUGAAUUCAGUAGUCGACUCUAAAUUUUUAGAUCUGAUCUGAGACAGUAAUAAAUAGCAUAAUCUCAAAUUCUUAUAUUUUAAAGUAAGGGGAUAAUUGAGACAUCAAAGAAUUAAAGUACACAAAAUUCUUUUUUUCUAAUUUAGCCAAUAUAUAAAUAUAUGUUGCUUCUCUAUUAGGUUGGUCUACAUUGUUUUACUACAAAAGGCCUAGCAAAUAGUUUUACUAUGCAACAAAUUAUCACAAGUACCAAAAAAAUUCCACUAAUAACAGUGUAUUAUUAUUAUUAUUAAAGGCAUGGUGAAAUAAAUAAAACUAAAAAAGAAAGAGCAAGUGCAAAGCCUUUUGACCACUAAAGUAAAAGUGAAAAGUAAAAGAGAGAACAUGUCAAUCAAUGGGGAUGGGCAAUCCAUUUAGAAAACCUUGAGGGCUUAAAUGUAAAUAUCUUAUAAAAAAAUUAAAAAUAUUUUUUAAAAAUAAGAUAAAUUAUUAAAAAUAUUUUUCAUAGUUAAUAAAUUAUUGCUAGAUAACUUAGGAUCCAUUCGAUAUUGAAGGUUAUUUGAUGCUAUUUGGUAAACAAAAUUGUAACGAAAGCAUGCACAGAUAUACUGUUAAAUAUAAAAUAUAAAAAAUAUCAUUCUCUAUUAUCUGAGGUUUUUGAAAAAUAACGGUAGUUUCGCAUUAAUUAACAUAGUAUCAGAGUAGAAAAUUCUAAAUUUAAGUCACAUUAGGCUCUUAAUAUUAUUAUUAUUAUUUAUUUAAUUCAAGUUUACGUCACGAGCCUAUCAAAAAAUUUCAAAAUUAAACAUAAGAGAAAGUGAAGUAUUAAAUAUAAAAUAUAAAAAUAUCGUUCUUUAUUAACUUAAUUUUUUAGAAAUUACUUACGAAAAUAAACAGAAUAUUUUUUUUUUCGUACUUUCUCAUGUAUGUAAAAGUCUUUCUAAAAUCCCAAAUAGCGCUUUAAUCUAACACCCUAAUAACUAUAAUAGAGAACAAAAAUCACGUGCAUCCAAACAGACCCUAAAUUCAGUGUCCGAAAGGGACGGUUAUCAUAAGAAAUUGAAAAAGGCGCAGGACGGUAGUGUUGAGUUUUUAGUUUUGUCACCUCCUUGGCUCGUUCGUUGUCGGGGGCCGAGAACCGGUUGCCUUGGCUGUUGAUGGUGGGGGCGGCGCUGCCGCCGAUCGCGUACAUCUCCCAGUGCGUGUAGUCGUUGUUCACCACGUGGAAGUACCCGUGCCGACACCUGAUUCGCGCCAUUGUAUAAAAGUUAAAUGUUUGACAUACAACAUCUUUGAUUUGUACAUCGCGACUUGUACAUUCGUAAAACAAUCAGUUUUGAUAGAUGCUGUGAUAAAAUGCAUGUACAUAAUGUGGCUGGAAACACAGUAGUUUAAACUAUAUGUACUAGUUUGAUUGGAUGUAGCAAAAAAAGCUAUAAAUAUAAAUAAAUAAUUUUAUUAUAUGCAGUUAAGAAAUAUACUUAAUAAGUGAUUAGGGAGCUAAGUUUAUUUUCAUUUAAAAUUACCACUACAACAGAAUUAGGUUAUAGGGACACAUGUUUGCGACAUUUUUGAGUAAGUGUCCUAUUAAUGCUAAAACUUAAAAACACAUCUACUAAUGCCUAAAUAUAAAGCCCAAUUCAACCAAAAAUAAAAGAUUACUCUACUCAACCCACCACACCCAGUCCAUUUGGCCCGAUUACAAACAGAAAAGAAAAAAAAAAAGAAAAAUCAAUUACCAUCUUUUCUUCUCUCUUCACUCAAUCCACUGAAAUUCUAGACGAAGAGCCUUUACUGUCGUCCUCCUCCACCACCGCAGCCAACGAGAUAGAGUUUCGGCGGUUGCUAAAUGCUUAAAUAAAUGUUGGUAAAUUAGCAGCACUGUUUUAGGUUAUAGCGACACUCUUUAACUGUCACUAUAUACUUAGCGACCCCACAUAUAGCAACACUUUUUAAAAGUGUCGGUAAUUUUAGCUAGCAGCACUUUUUUGACAUGUACCUACAUUUAAAAGUGUCGUUAUAGGCCGUUUUUUUUGUAGUGUACUCUCUCCAGUUGCUACAUUUACAGCUGCGGUUAAUUUAGGCGUAGUUCUAAUUCUCAUACAAUUCCAACUGUACUAACUGAAUUCAAAUAUAUUAAACCAAAAUAGUGAAUUUUGAAUCGCUAUGUAGUUACAAUUAUAGUGAAAUUAUAAUUACUUCCAACUUUGAAUAUGAUAUUAAGCUUUUACAUAGUUCUAUGAAAUGUGUGGUCCACUUUUUUUUUUUUUUUUUUUUUUUUUUUUGGUGGAGAACAACACAUUACUAAGGAAAUUAAUUUCCAACAACAAAUUAAUGGCAUUUUAUGAAAAAAAAAUUUAAUAUAUAUAUCAACUAAAAAAUUAAUGCAAAGUUAAAAAAUAUAUUAGUAUUAUAAUUAUCACUACUACUGUCACCAACUUAAUUAACGGCCCAAAGGACCAAAUUGCAAAUUAUUAUAAAAGAAGUGAGUAAAGUGCAAAAAAGCCUCCGGCGGCUCACCGGGGCAUCCGCUGCACGAGCCCUUCGCCGAAGUGGUUGAAGGCGAUGGUGACCUGCAUAUGCUUGUCGGCGACGAGCUCGUCGCUGUGCCCGAGCAGCAUCACCUUGUCGUGCCGCGACAUGUAGUUGUUCGACACCGUGAUCGCCGUCGACCCGUGUAUCGCGUCGAUGAGCCCGUCGGUGCACGCCGAGAGGCUGCAGUGGUCGAUCCACACGUGCGACCCCCCGAAUAUCGAAAUGCCGUCCCCGUCCGACCGCGUCCGCCACCCGUAGUGCCCCGGCGAGUCUCGCACAUAAGCGUUCCCCCCCGGCCGACAAUCGUGUAUGUUUAUGCCUACCGGAUAUAAAAAACAUAUCAUAAUUGAGAUCCGUAGGCGCUGUGUCUGUAUAUUUCAAGUAAAUACCGUGAAUGAUAAUAUUCGUGACGUAUUGGAUUGUGAUGCAGGGCCCGCCGGCGAUGUGCACGCUUGCGCCGCGGCCGUCGAUGGUCUUGUACGAGUUCAUGAUCAGCUCCUCCUUCAACCUGACCGUCAUGUCGUGUGCGAACACGAUCCAGAGGGGCUCGUCCCGAAUGACGGCGUAGCGGAGCGUGCCGGGCCGGGGGUUCACGGGGUCGUCGUCGGAGCCGUCGGUGACGACGUAGACAUCGCCGUCGCGGCCGCCGACGGCAUUGCGGCCGAACCCGAUCGNGGCAUUGCGCCCGAACCCGAUUGCACAGUCGGCCAGCCGCUGGCGGUGCCGGUCCCAAUGCCGGUCGCACCGCCAGCAGUCGUCGAUGGGAUUUCCCGUCCCGCAGGACAAAUAUCCCAAUCCUCUACGGGAAGCAUUGUAUAAACUCCUAACAAAACAUUACAACACACAUAAAUUAUAUACUAAUGUACAAAAAAUUAAAACUUUUCAAAAAUUAUACAGUAAUAUUUAUUUUUUUAAUAAUAAUAAUUUUACAUAUAUAUAUAUCUAUAUAUAUAUAUAUAUAUACCUUUCGACUUCUUGUACUACGAAUUCAGGGUCUGAGACGAUCGUGUUCGAUGGAGGAGAAGAGAGAGAAAAAGAGAGUGCGAUAAAUGAGAAGAGCACGAAGAGAAUGAAUUGAAGAGCGAGAGUCAUUUUUUUCCUUUAAUUUCUCUCUCUCUCUAAUCUCUCUCUAUAUAAUAAGUGUAGAGAGAGAAAGUGGGUGAAUGGUAGAGGGGGAGUUGGGUGCAAUUUAUAGAGUGAGAAUUUAAGAUAUUUAUUUAUUUAUUAAAAAAAAAGGGAGUAAACAAAUUGAGAGGGAAAAGAGGGGGAGGGGGUGUGAUCAAACUACAAAAAGUAAGAGUGUGGGUCCCACCAAAAGUAACGUAAAUUAUGGAAUUAUUUACAGAGAUACUAUUUUGGUAGUUUGUUAGUUUAGGUAGUUAAAUAUAAAUGAGAAAAACAUAGGCUAAAUUACACUUUUGGCCCUCAAAUAAUACGGCGGAUGACAUUUUGAUCCUCAAAUUUAAAAUUAUUGUAAUCAUAUCCCACAGUUUAGUUUGAUGAAUAAUAUUAACGUAUAUUAUUUCGCCUAGUCAAUUUUAUUACUGCUACGUGAAAAUAAUAGGAAUUAAAAUUCUAGCUGUUUAUAUCAAAUUAACUAGUAGUUGAGGGACCUCUAUGCAUUUUUACCGUACCUAUCUUUUUAGUUAAAAAUUUCUCGACAUAUUUAUGAUAUGGAUAGGACUACUGACCUACCAUUAUUACGACCCAAAACCCAAAAAAAGGAAAACAUAAUAAUAAUAAAAAAAUUUUAAAAAUCUAUUUAACUACAUUAAAGGAGAGUUUGGGAAACCUUAGAGUGACACGUGUCCCCCAACCCUCCUAUUCUCUCUCUUUCUACACAUAUAUAUAUAUAUAUAUAUAUAUAUAUAUAAAAUACAAAAUUUAAAAUUUUAAAUCUCUAAAUUCUAAUAAUACGCGUAAUAAAAUCUAACCUAAUAAAUGCAAUUUAAAUUACAUAAAAUAUCGCUAUAUAAAAAAAUAUAGAAUUUAAAUUUUAGAACUAAAAUUUUAGAAAUAUAGUGCAUAUGUGUAUAUAUGUAAUUAAUUUUAUUAAAUAUUUUUUUUUACAAUUUUUUUUAUUGGUUUUCUUAAAUUAUUUUGAUAGAUUAUCUCAAAUUCUUUUCAUAUAAAUUUUAUAAAAUAAAUUAUUGUAUAAAUUUACUUUACGCAUAAUUAUUUUUAUAUAAUUUUUUAUUUAAUAAAUAAUUAGACUUAUAAAACUAUAUAAAAAUAUUAAAAAAUAUAUAAUUUAUUAUAAAAAUAAUUUUAUAUCCGCAGCAUCGCGCGGGUAAUUCACUAGUAAGCAUAAUAAUAAGGUUUUAAAAAAGCAUGGAAUCAAAUAAUGUGUUUUGUAUUGUCUUAUAUUCAUUUUUUGGAUUUUGUGAUCUUAUUAACAGUAACAUAGAAUGAUUGGGUACGAUUUAGUUAAAAAAAAAUAAAAAAAUAAAAAGAAAUAAUUAAUCUUGUAUAAAUAGUGGUUAUUACUAAUUGAGUUUAUUUUAUAUGUAUCUUCUCCAAUUUAUGCAAUUAAUGCAACUAUUUGAUCAUGAGUAGUGGUGAGUUUUUGGUUUGAUUAUUGAAGUUAAAAUCAUGUAGUAGUAAUUAAACCAAAAUAAGAUAACCUAAAAUAUAUAUUCAUGUAGCUCUAAUUUUCGUUGCUCUUAUAGUAAUAUCUUAAAUCGAAAGACGGAGAUUAAGAUACUCUAAUGUUUGGUUUAUAAUAAAAUUUUCGAUCACAGUGUAAUUACUGCAUUAUUUAUUAAAAAAAGGCUAAAUUAUAUAAAAUUUUUCUGUCAAAAUUUGAUUUUUCACUUUCUCUCCUUGUCAUUAAAAAACCUACACUUUGCUCCCUUAUAAAAUAAAAAAUAUUCACUUUACCCCCUAUCGUUAGUAAUCCCUUUAGAGUUUCGUUUAUAAAAUAUGAUUAUAUAUUUUUUAUGCCAAAAAUAUCUUCAACCUUUUCUCCUGUAAACAUAGUGAGGGACGAAAUGGUGAGGAGCAAAAUAGUUAUUUUGUCAUCGCAGUUCACACCGUACUCCCUGUGAAUAUUUUUUAUUUUACAAAAGGGUAAAAUGUAGGUUUUUAAAUGACAUGAAAAAAGUGAAAAAUCCGAUUUUGAUAUGUAGAUUUUCUGUAAUUUAGCUAAAAAAAAAAAUAUUGUUGUAGCUAAAGUUAUAGACCAAUUAUCUUGGAAAUUUGGUAUGAACAGUAACAAGUACAAUCACUUUAAUUUCAACAUGGUACACUUUUUCCACAUCCAUGAGAUUUAUAGCCACAUUGUGGGCUUGAACAGAUCUCACAUGGACAGUGUCAGUGUUGUGUUGAAAAACCCUAGAAAUUGAUUUCAAAACUACAAAAAAAGAAAAAAAAGAAAAAAAGAGGAGGAGCAGAACAAGAUGGGGGAGCAUUGAAUGAUCACUUGUCGGUGUUGUGGUUUCUUCUUUUAGAGAAAGAGGAAGCAGCUUUUAAUAAAUUGGUGCAUAUAUCUCUUUGUCCAAAUAUAUUUUUUAUUUAUUUUUUUUCUUGUUUUAGUAGCAGUUAUCUUCUUGGGCAUAUAAAGUCUAGUAAAUCUGCACCCUUUAUUUUUUGGUAUAAGUAUGUCACUUUUCUCUUCAGCUUUCAACAGCAGCCAUCUAUAGUAUAGCAUUUACUCUGAUGAUUCUAUAGCACUGAGAAUUGUUGUCUUAAAGAAGUCAGCAUUAUAUUAUAUAGCGGGAGAUCAGAUUGGAUCAAGUCAUAUUCGAAACGACGGGAGGUCAUGAGUUGGGCCUAAUUAUCUUCUCAGAGUGGCAAGAGUCUGAUCAGACCGAGUCACAAUCAAGACUCGUAGAUGCUGUGUUUGCACGUUUUAAGUGAAUUUGUUGUAUAUUUCUAGCAUUCGAGUUUUUGGAAUUAAUAAUUAGCGCCAACGAUCUGACAAGAAUGAUUUGAUACAUAUAUAUUGUUGUCUGACUAUAUUUGCAUGAGCGUUUACAAGUCUAAUACUUUCUGUUCUAGCAAGAAAUAUUUGGUGCAUAUAUCCCUUUGUCUGGCUAUAUCUGUUUUAUCUCCUGCUACUUACAAGGAUUUCUAGUAGAGUAUUCACCAAUUAGAUGUUUCUGCUUGAGACCCACUCCACAAUUGAAUGAAAGCUUUAGUUUGAUACUUCUAACUUUAAUACUACACUGAAGAGUAUCUGUUAAAAAUAUUUUACGAUAAUGCUUCUUCUAAAAGUACUGCUCAAUCAGCACUUCAUCCACCAACACUAUGUAGUGAGAGGAAGAACAAUAUAUUUGGAGAGAGAGAGAGAGAGAGAGAGAGAGUGUUGGUUCAAUUAUUAUUGUGGUUGGGUUAGGGACCAAGGGUUUGCAUGAAUUGUAUGUGAUCAUCUAAACAUUUGGACCCACCUUUUCUCAUUAAAGAGCAACUGGGGCUCACAUGCAAGCAUUUACAGUAACAGUGUUACUUGCAUGAGUGCCCCUAUGAAUAAUAUUCAUAUAUGACUACACCUAUUGUGAGAGGCUCUUGUGUAUGCAUGUUUAAUAUAAAUAUAAAUAUGUUAAUAUCAUCACUCUUUUACAGGACAAUAGUUAAGCUUAAGCUAUUGAGAACAAUAUUUUUAAUAUUUAUAUUCAAAAUUAGCUGAAAAUUAAAUGCUCAAUCUUACUCUUUCAUCAUUUUAUGAAUAGAAAGAUAGUAGUAUAUUGCGAUAUAUAAAAAAAAAUAAAAUAAGUGAUUAAUGGCUGAAAUUGAGCUAAUAAUUUUUAAUUUAUAAGUAUGUUCCUCACCUAACAAAGUUUUUUUUAUCUGUGGGGCUUAACUUUGUUCCAUCCAGUGAGUUAAUAACAAUGCCUAAUUCAAAUAGCAAUAAACUAUUAACAAUGAUGUUGUAUGAGAUACCAAAGUGUGAAAAUAUGGGUGCAGUAACUGCUUAUCACUAGCCAACUUUGGCCUGUUGCAAUCACCUAAUUAAAGGAUAGAAAUAAAUUAUAAAACAAGAAUAACAUAAAAAAGUGUAUGUUACCACAUUUAGUGGAGAGAUUUGAGGGUCCUUGAGCUCAACAACAAUAUGGACAUUUUGCUUCUUCCCACUAUUAUAUAUGCUUCCUAGUGUCUUAAUAGCUUUGAAAUGCCUAGAGAUGCUAAAACCAUGUUUGUGAUUUACUAAGUAAGCCUCUUCCCUCCAUUCAUGGUUUCUGUGUCCAUUGGCUACCCCAAGUUUUUUUUUUUUUUUUUUNAUAUUUUUACCAUAUAUUAAAAAUUUUGUAUUCUUAUAAAUCAUAUUCAUGUUUGUGCUCGUCUAGAUCUGAAUAUUUUUUAGGGGUAAUUGCUUAUACACCUCUAAAAAAUUUCCCACUUUCUGAUUUACCCCUCUUAAAAGGCUAAUAUUGAAAAUACUUUUUUUACGUUCCAACCUAUUUUAACUAUGCCCCUAGAAUUAAAAUCUGUUAAUAAACUCUGUUAUUUGUAUAAAUUACUAUUUUGCCCUUUCAAAUAUACACUUAUACCAUCACCAGCUUUUCUUAUUUGUCCUUCAGUCAGGGACACAAAAAGUAUUUAGACUGUUGAUUUUUUUCAAAUAUACCCCUCUACCGUUACCAAUAUUUCUUAUUUGCUCUUAAGUUAAGGGCAAAAUUAAUAUUUUAAUUUUUUUUUAACUGUGGCAAAAUUAGAUUUACACUUUAAUCAAUUCAAUCCUUUAAAUCAUACUAUUUAACCAACCACCCACUCAACCUUAGAGAAACCACUACUAAACCUUAGGGGACCGCUAUAAUCCUAACUCUACAAUUUAUCAUCCAAAGAUUAAAAUCUCGAUAGUAAAAGAACACAAAUAUUAUUAAUCGUAUUCCAGCCCAAUUCAUUAUAAUCUUAUUUAACAAUUAAGUCCCUAAAAUUUUUCUAGCAUCAUGACCCAACUUGUUAUGUCAAUUUUCUUCUCAAAUAGGGGGAAAAGAAAAGGCUACAUGGGUGUCUAAGAACUAGUACUCUAGUUAUUAAUAAUAUUGAGCUUAACCAUUUUGAGUGGAUAACAAAUUGCUAAUACUAAUAGGCAAGAAAAUAUAUAAUCUCUCUCUCUCUCUAAAAAAAUUAGGUUAAAAAAAAAACUCCCAAAUUCGUCCUGAUACACUGAGAAACAGGAGCGGAAGGCAGAGAAGCCCGUAGCGGGUUUUUUAGUGCAAUAGUCUUUUCUUAAAAUUUUAUUCUAAAAAUAGACCUGUUAAAUUUUUAUUUAUAAAUAUAAUCCUAUAAAAGCGGUGAAUGAUUCACCGCUUUUAAAAACGGUGAACCAUUCACCGCUUUCUUUUUUUUUCUCACUUCUUUUUAUAUUUCUACAAUGGUAAAAGCGGUGAAUGGUUUACCGCUUUUACCCUUUUUCUACUCCUAAUGACAAGUUAUGAAUGCGGUGAAUCAUUCACGGCAUUUAGAGAUCUAUUUUUAUAAUUAUUUUUUUAACAAAAUUAUUUUUACAAUUAUAAAAAUUGAUAGGUUUAUUUAUAAAAAAAAUUCCUUUCUUUUAUCCAUCCCGCGAUCUGUCAAAAAUCUGUUCCCCGUAUCUGCCAUCCUCAUCAAUUGGUUGUUUUUCACCAAUUACAUUUCCCAUGCAUGCAUGCAUGCAUGCAUUGUUUUGUUAAAUGUAAUUAAAUUAAGAUGAUACAAAUGACCAACCAACUAUUGUCAAUUGCAAUCAACUGCACUAUCAACAAACUGAAAAUGGCAAGGUAAUAGUAACUUGAGGUAUAAAUUUUGUGUGUGUGUGUGUGUGUGUGUGUGUAUUUGAUUGCAACUAUUUUGGCCACUUAGGUAGUUAAAAGAAGCCAUAAAUGAUAGUGACAUAGGAACUGCAUCAAAGUCCUAUUCCUCUGCUCCCUUGUACCUUUUACUCUGGGAAAAAAAAAAAAAAAAAAAACAUGAAACACACCCUUUUUCUUUAUUUUUAUUUUCAAAUAAAAAAAUUUUAGAUUCUUUUCUUAAGAAUCAAACCGACAAAAAAAAAAUACUAUUGACGCCAGAAAACUAUUCCCAUCUAUUUGUAGCAGAAUUAAAAGCACUAAAUUUGAGCUUGCGACUUUUGAGGCUACGAAUCUCAAUUUUCACCAUCUCUUUCAACUUAAAAGUUUCAAAAUUUUCUCUGUUAAAAACAAAAGCAUAAGCUGAAACAAACAUGCCAGAAUUAGAAGCACCAUAGUUGAACUUUUUCGUUUUCGAGGCUACAAAUCUCGAAUUUAUCUAUUUGCCAAACAUUGUAGAAAAGGUUGCUGCUGUAAGUAAAAGCAGAAGCUGGAACAAACAUGAUAAUGCCCUAAUUGGUUCCUAUCCAUUUCUCAUUAUGCUCGUGGGAACAUGGAAUGAUCCCUAAACUAAAGCCUACAUAUAUAGCUAACAAAGGAAAAAAAAAAUUUAAAUAAAAAGUACCUUUAUAGGAUGCUACUUCAAAGCUUUGGCCUUUCUCUGUAGCCUCAUUGACUUCAUUUGAGAGGCAUUCUAAAGAGGAGAACAACAAGUUGGGGCUUUUGAAAAGGAAGAAGAGCUGUAAGUAGAAGCACUUGAGAGGUUGCUGUAAGACUCAAAAGAGAAUGCCAAGUAUGUGUUUGAUUACCGCACCCAGCGGAGGAUUUGGAGGCUUACCCACAAAUCAUGAUUCCUAUGUCCUAAAUCUUAAUGAAGUAAUGCAAUACCCCCUGCCGUUUACACACAUCGAACAAAAUGUAUGAAGGGGAUUUGUACGAUUUACCUGACACGUGGGCCCCACACGCCGUCCAAAUCGACGAAUCUGGUGUCGCGUGCUGUUUACUUGCAUGUAAAGAGAAGUGAACAGAGUAAUUUCGAACCAUAAUAGCAGCCAAACAUGUUUGUGCUUUAUAACUCGCUCGACUAGUAAACCUUUUCACUCCAUUCAUGCUAUCGACCUAUAGCAAAAAUUUGAGUUUGCAAAAGCGAAAAAAAAUGUGAAGUAAUAUCAAACGGUCAUAAGGAACUACGCGAAAAAGAAGUUAUUUUGACAAGAUAAAUAGGUUGCAAAUCCACUGCCGCAGUGAACACAAGUUUGCGGAUUGCGUAAAAGAAAACACUUUAAAUUUCGGGAAAUCAGAUAAGAAAUCUAAGAUCAGACUUGCAGUGAUUUGAGAACUUCUACCAAUAUCAUUGCUGAUAGUUAAACUUCACUUAAUAUUUCUUCCAUUAGUGUUCAUCCUUCCAAAACCAAGAACAUUUAAGCAGCGAUGACAUAUCACUUCGAUACACUUCUCUCUUUUCUCUUGCAUGUUAGAUCUUUGUAAAGAGAGGAAAGGCAAUUAAAAGAGAGAGAUCCUAUGUUAGAUAUUUAAUAUUAACAGCAAUUAAUUCACAAAAAAUGCAACCAACAGUUAGAUUACUUCUAUACAUAUAAAAUGCCAACAUUACUUAUAUUCUGGAACAAAUAUACUGAAAAGAGAAACAGUAAUUACCUGAAAUUUUGUCCGGAACCACAUGAAGAGAUCCAAUACGCCAAGAACAAUCUUUCCAUCGAAACAAGAAUCAAAUGAGAUGUUUCAAGGCCUCUGACCACCCAAUUUUCUAUUUGCGCCACCUUGUUGAUUAGAGCCAAUUGUCCUCUUAUAGAAGGAGAGCUUUCAUUUACAAGUAUAGAAUGGAAAUGACUCAUCCAACAGAAAACAACUGGAUGAGCAGUUCUUGUUAUUUGCUAUCGCUAUUAAUCCUAGGAGCAUUCAUUGCGCGCUUCUUUUUAUUCUUCCAAAACUCAUCUUUCUUACCCUUCUUCGGUUUUAUACCAAACUUGCUGUUGACUAUUCCGAGAAUAGCACUCCUAUCCCUUCUAUUCUUUGUUUUUGCUUUCACAUCUAAAAUAGCCCGCAAUUUCCCGUAUGCUCCGGCGUCAGGUACCUGACCACUUCUAACCAUUUGCUUAUGAUAAAAAAACGCUUUAGCAAAAUCGCGCACGCGGACAAAUGCAUAUAUCAUUGUAGAAUAAGUAACCGAAUCAGGCCUCAAAUUAAGAGUCGCCAUCUCCUUCAACAACUGUGGCAAUUUGUAAUGCUGUCCUCCUCGAGCAUAUGCGUUCAUCAAUAUAUUGUAAGUCAUUACAGUGGGCGCCAAACCAAUUUUCCCAAAUUCAAACAUAACAUCUCUUGCUUGGAUGUAAAGCCCGUGUUUCGCAAACCCGUCUAAAAUAAUGUUAUACGUGACUCUUGUACCUUCUACUUUAUUAGCAAUCAUCGAUUUCCAAAUCUCCUUUAGUUUGUCGGUGUCACCCGCUCGCCUAAAUGCAUCAAGGAGAGCAGUGUAAGUCUCUAUAGAAGGCUUUAUUCCUUCUCGUUUCAUAUUUUCGUACGACAUAUAAGCUUUUUCGUGCCACCCACCAACUGAAUACGCAUGUAUUAGGGCAGUAUAGGAAUGUGAUGUGGGCUUUAUACCAGCCUUUUUCAUCCUUAAAAAGCAAUCGGCUGCCAUUUCGCUCAUUUUUCUCUGCCGACCAUAAGCACUUAUAAGGCAAGUAUACGACCUGACAUUUGGUUUUAGCCCUAAAUUUUGCAUCUCGGAGAGCAAAGCUUCGACAAUAUCUGGUUGCGUCCUUUUACUGUAUGCAUCCAUUAAAAUAUUGUAAGUUGCGGUUGUUGGAUUUAAGCCCUUCUCUUUCAUCUCUUUGAAAAGGGCUUCUGCUUCUUCAACCUGGUCCGAUUUUACGUAUGCAUCGAUCAGCGUGUUAUAUAUGAUGGCAUUUGAUGCAACUCCUCUCUUUUCCAUUUCAGACUGAAUGAUAAGGGCUUCUUUUUUAAGCCCCUCAUCACAAAAGGACUUAAUAAGAGCACCGACGACCUCUAAGCUCCAUUUGACACCUUUCUUGUUCAUUUUUUCAAAGAACUCCCAUGCAUCUUUCGCACAUUUCCCGCUUUUUCUCAUCGCAGUUAUUAGAAUAGAACAUGUGACAUGGUCCGGCCGGAUAUUAUUUGCUUCCAGAAGCUCGAACACUUUCCAGGCGUCAUCAUAGCUGAAAUGCCGCAGAAAAAUGUUAGAACAGAGAAGAUCUAUGUGGACUACAAACAAAAGAGAGAACCAUCAAAACACCAAUGUCGGAUUGGCUGAAUCCUGAUAAUGAAUAACUCGAUAACUAAACAGAAUGUUUUCUACGUUUAAAAUUUGAUUAAAAACCCGCAAUUUCCACUAUGACUACUUGUGCUUUUCAUAGCACAACAAGAAAAUACUAAAUAAGGCAAUGCUAGCAUGGAUUUACACAUUAUUACAAAUUCACAAAACCUACAAGAUUGGCCAUACUAGCGACAUAUCGGCAUGCCGUGAAGAUAGAAAACGGAUCUCUUUGAUUAUUCAUACCGAAUUGUUGCAUUAAUAUCAGUGCCCAUCAUAUAUUUAGUCCCUAAAUUUGGGCUUAUCCACACUGGGUCCUAAAUGCUUAUCUGAACAGAUUAAUCUAUGAUAUCACCUCUGUUUUUCCCUAUCAAAAUAUCCACCGUCAACAGCAUUUUCUCCAUAUAACUACAAUGAUCACUUUACACAUCAUUUACUAUGCAACCCAGUUUCCAGCAAACAUGGGGCCUGGUCAUGUGCAAUGCACAACAACGGCGACACUGUGAUAAGUUUUCGAGUUGAGUACAAUUAUCAAGUAACCUAUUUAACUUGAAGGUCAUGGACCAAACAUCAAUGAGAUGAUUGAAGAGGAACUCACCUCCCGCAGCACGCGAGGCCGGAGAUGGCGGCAUUGUACACCCUCACAUCCCUGAACUGCCUCCCCCUCGGCAAAUUCUCGAAAAGCACCCUCAACUUCUCCCCCAUUCCGGCGCGGCCCAGCGCCGGGAAUAUGAUCGAACACGUUCUAGGCGUGACCAGCGGCGGCUCCUGCAGCCCCAUCCACUCAAACAAGUACAAGCACUCCCACACCAACCCCUCCUCCCCCAACCUCUCCAUCAGCUCCACACACUCCCCUUCCCCGACCCUCCCCUCGUAGCUCCCCAAGCACUCCCCCAGCGUCGAAUUCUCCGGGAGGCUCCUCGCGAGCCGCAUGAUCUCCCCGACGACCCCGUCGUCGGGAGCAGCAGCCGCCGCCGAAUCCGAUAACUCCGCCGCCGAUUCGAGAACUAGGGUUGCAGCAGCAGCAGCAGCAGCAGCAGCAUCUUCCACCUCGCCGGGAUCGGCGAGGUGCCACGAGCUGCGGCGGUUGCGCUGGAGCGAGGGGCGACCCUCGCGCUUCGGGUCGUCGACGGGGGCGCUGCGGCGGCGGUUGAAGAAGCUGAGAAAUGGGUCUGAUUCCUCUUCCUCUUCCUCCUCCUCUUCUACAUCUAGUUCAGCGAAUUCUCCGACCAAUUCGUCUUCUUCUUCCUCGAUUGGGGGGGGUUUUGGGUGUGGGGGAUCGAGGUGGGGGAGGAAGAUGGGGGAGGGAGGGGUCGAGGAGGAGGAGAUGGGGAUUAGGGUUUUGGGGGGUUUGAGGAGAGAGGAGGAGAGGUUGGGGAGGUGGGGAGAGGGGAAGGGGAAGGAGAAGGGGUUGAGGAGGAGUUUGAGCGCCAUGGGAGAGGAGCAAAAGAGAAAAAGGUCAGGAGAGAGAGGAGAUAAUCUAAAGGUGAAAAAUGCAUGGAGACCCCUAAACUUUUGAAUCUUUGGCAAAUAGAUCCCUGCAGUUUUAAUUUUGGCAACCAGACAUUUUUUUUGGCUAAAUUAUAUAGAACUUUCUUAUAAAUACUUUUUUUUUUACUUUUUCUUUCUAAUUUUUAAAGUACCGUUUGGUUCGGGUAUAAGCAAGAACUAGCUAUUACAGGGAUAGAUACAAGUAUGGAGAUAAGAAAAAUAGCGUUUGGAUGAAAAUUGGAUUGCUCCCAAGGAUAAAAAAAAUAUUAGAAAGUUUUAUAUAAUAAAUGGAGGUGUUGGUGGGGAUAACUGAGAACUACUAUUCUCGAGUAAAAAAUCUACAUUAUAACCCAUCAACAUUUCAAGUUGUUAUAUUUAGCCCCUCUCUGUCAGGGUUUCAUCACUAUUCCGUUCAUUUUUUAUAAUUUGUACAGAAAAUACCUUUCAAAGUGACAAAAAUAUAUUUAAAUAUUAUUUUUAUCGUUAUAGAAGAAGUAAGAGUAAUUUGAUCAUUUUGCUCUCUCCAUUAACAUCAUGCAUCCCUAAAAGUAUUUCAAAAAUUUUAAAAGAGCAAACUAUAGAUUUUUAAAAGUUAGAAAAAUAAAAGUGAAAAAACGAGUAUUUACGAAAGGGUUUCUGUAAUUUUUUUUUUUUUGAGAGAAAAUAUAACAAGCUAGCCAAAAAUGUUUCUAUUUUUUUUGGCCCCUAAAGUUUCAAUUUUGACAACUAGACACCUCGAUGGGUGCGCCAAAAAACGUUAAAGCUUUUUUUUUUUCUAACGAGAAAAUAAUACAAUAGUAUUAUGAUUGAUAACGCAACAAUAAUUACAAUAUUACAUCACUUCUAUAUCAAUGAUAUGUCAGUGUUUAAUCAACUAAAUUAAAUUUAAAAACCUUAUUAUAAUAAUUAAUAAAUUUUGAAUUAAAAAUUUUAUUAAAUUAAAGAUUGAGCAUCAUAGUGUCAUGCCCCUCAUAGUGUAAUUUAGCUUCUUUUAAAAUAGGCUAAAUUAUAAAAAAAAAAUCUUUAUAAAUAACUACUUUAUUUUCCCUCCCUAAUUUUUAAAAACUUAUAUUUUACCCCCUCAACAUUUCAAAUUAUUACAUUUAACCCCCUCCGUCAAAGUUUCAUCACUAUUUCAUUUAUUUCUUAUAAUUUAUACCAAAAUUACUCUUAAAAAUGAUAAAAAUAUAUUAAAAAAUAAUUUUUUUCUUAUAAAAGAAGUAUGGAUAAUUUGGUUAUUUUGCCCAUUCUAUUAACACCGCAUCCCCUAAAAUAUUUUUGAAAUUUUAAAGGAACAAAAUGUAAAUUUUAAAAAGUCAGGAGAAAAAAAAAAUGAAUAUUUACACAAAGAUUUUCUAUAAUUUAGCCUUAGAAUAUGUUGUUCAAUUCAACAUAAGGCCAUGUGCAAAACAACUUCAUAAUAACAUCUGCAAAACACAAGAUCUUCAAGAGCAACAAAUUUACAUAGAGAAGUUUACAUUUGCUUCUCUUGCGGAUUCGAAGCGGCGAAGCGCCAUAAGAGGCCUCCGACGAGAUUGUUCAGCGAAUGCGACGCCAUCGGAACAACGAGGCUCGCGGAAGUUACAGUCGCCACGCCGUAGGCGAACCCGACAAAUGUUGCCCUGGAACAAUCAUCAAAACACAAAUGUAAAACCAAGAAAACAAAUACUCACUACACUAUGCUUUUUGAGUUCAUACAUUGAAGAAACUCUACUUAUAUAGCCUAUUCGAACCUCGAAGUUUUCGACAAAUAUCAGCUCUAAGAGACGCGAAUCUAUUCUCGCGCUUUCUACUUCUUUUGUAAUCUGUGCGUGGUUGUAAUAGUGAUGUGGAUCGGGCUUUUCGGGUGUACGAACGUCGUUGACGCCGCAACCGUAGUGGUAGCAUAUGGCUUGACCGACCCGAGAUAGGUCCGGGUUGAAUCGAACCUACGAAUUUUUAGAAGCAUCUAGGGAUAAGUAUCGUAUCUAAAUCCCGCUGUGCUAACAUCAUAUUGCGUUAGAUGAGUUUCUAAACCUAGGAUUUGUCCCAAUUAAAUUUAACUUCCUAAUCUUUGAUUCACAAAUCCUGCAUCAAAUAGUGUAUAUAAUCGCGUACCAAACGGCGUACGAAAGUUUCCGGCCGCCACCCAAGUGAAGAACUCCGAAGAGAGCACCGAUCCCGAGGGCGCUUAUCCAAUUAAGUCCGAAAAGCGGCAUUAGACCCCCGCGAAAGAGCAAUUCCUGUCAUAGCAGAUGAUGCUAAGAGCUAACAACCAUGUUCUCUAUAAACUGAUGAUAUUUGAAGAGAAUUAUAGCAAUUUAGAUAUCGAAGGAAUUGUUUGUCGAAAGUGACACAGAUGAUGCAAUAAAAGUAACAUUAAGAGCCUGUUUGGCCUAGCUAGAGCUUUCGAAGUGCUGGGUGAGUAGAACUGUUAGAGGAAACACGAACAUCUUAUCUCUAUCAAAAAGUCAACCCUCUAGCUUUUUGCUGCGAGGAUUAGAAGUUUUAAAUUGAAGCUUCUACUUUCAAUGCUCAGAAGCUUGUUUUAGCUUCUUGCUACAAUAAAAGAUCCGAGAGUUUUAUUUAUCAAAUUAUGGUGGUGCUUUUCGGAGUAAAGAAGCUGCUCUAUAGGCCGAGACCAGAGAGGCGCUUAAGAACUGUUUGGAGAAGCAGUAAUAGCUUUCUUUGCUGAACAAAGACAGAGAGAUAUGGACGGAUAAUAUCUUUACCUCACUAAUCCCGGGGAGAAAUGCAACCACGACAUAAUCCAACGGUUGCAAUGAACUAAGAAUCUGAUUUGAAAAAAAAGAAAAAAAGAAGGAACAGGAUCAAUUUAGAAAGGAUUUGAUGAUAUUCCUCACAUAACUAAAAGAAGCACUAUUUUUUCUUAGUUAACUGAAAACAACGAUAAAAUCAGAUUUCACAUUUAUUAACACAAAUCAAACAUAAAUAUAAAAAAAAAAUGUUUAAGAAAAGAUAAGAAAAGAAGCAAAUAACACAUUUUAAGCUAAAUAAGUGUGUCGCAGGUAUCGAGCAUACUUGUUGGUUAGCUGCAUCGCUAGACUCUGAAAAAUCUGGCCAUAUCUUCAGGAGAAUAAAUCGACUAGUUGAGAUCAGUAUAACUAGUCCCACGAUCAGUUCGAUAUGCCACAUUUCAAAACCAACUGCAAAGCGGCCAAUAAACGGUCAAUCGAAGAAAAAAAACAUAUGGUAUAACUGCAAAACAUUGAACAAGGCAUGCAAGCAAUAUACCAAUGGAAAGAAAAAAGAAAAUAAUAUGUGAAAUCAAGAUUACACAAAUACUAUCACGAAAUUUCAAAAACACGGCUUUUCUGAAUUCUGAUCAUAUGGCAUUUGUGGGAGAAGAGAAAUAUUUACUAACGGCCACCUUCACCAAUCAGGCAGUUAACUACUUGAAGUUGGUUAAAAUCGUAUGAAAGUUAAGAAACAAGUGCGAGAAGUGGAGCACAAUAUAUUAACCACAAUCUAAAUGUGAAAAAAAAAAAAAAAAAAAAAAAACGGCGGCAAUCCAUAUUUUUAACUACAACCAAGAUCUACAUUCUAAUGGAGUAAGGGCGAAUUUGUUUCCCAAAACAAAAGCAAACAAAAGGAAGAGCUUUAAUAUCCUCUAAUAUAAAGUGGACGAAUAGUUGCUUAGAUGCUUGUACAUUUGUUAUAUCCUCUAAUAUAAGAUUUCGGCUGUUGGAUGAAGGGAUGUGCGGUUAGAAUGAUAGUGGUCCUCUAGGAUUGAGUGGGUGGUUGAUUGAAUAGUAUGAUCCAACAGGUGGAAAUGGUCAAAAUGAUAAAUCUAACGGUCGAAAACUUAUGAGUACAAAAGAGUCUAUACUCAUAAAAAUAUAGUAGCCUGACUCUCUCUCUAGAGUCUAUACUCAUAAGAAUAUAGUAGCCUAACUCUCUCUCUCUCUCUCUCUCUAUAUAUAUAUAUAUAUAUCUAGAAAAUGUAUCGACUCCACGAACUAUAAUGCAAAUAUGUACCCAGAGUCUCAAGAUAUUCUUUUCCAUAGAGAUCAACAACUAAUUAGAAAAUAUACAAAAAAAAUUAAUGGGCGACACAACUAAAGUAAAGAGUUGAAGCCUCUUUUCUGCGCGAGUCUCGUAGCAACAUUUUUAGUACAAGGCCAUUGGUUCCUCUGUAAAAGCUUCUUUACAGAAGUAACAAUGACGACGAAAACUUACAUGCUAUUUCUGUAGAGUCAAAAUUUGCCCACCCUUUUGCAUAUGCAAGAUGGGAAGCCUACAAAUCGAAACAAUAAGAAUUUCAAAUAUAAGGAAUAAACAUGAUAAUAUAAUAUCAUGGAUACGAAAGAUUUCGCUAGUAGUUUUCAAUUUAGUGGUUGUUGCAAGAAUUUAAGUGGCCAUCGGCAAGGGCCGUAUCUACCGUACUGUAUCGUGCAAACAAAAUAUCGGUACGAUACAAUCCCCAUGCCGAUGGCACACUCUCUAAAAUUAGUAAAUAAUUUUCUCAAUAAAGUUCAAGAGAUUUGAUAAAGAUACAUAAUAAACAAUUAGAAUAUUUUGUUGCUAAAGAAAAUAAAUAUUUUAUACCAUUAUGUGUCGGUAUAUAUGUAUUUUUUGUAUCCGGCACGCAUCGGCACGACCCAGCACACACCGUACUAUGCCAUGCCGACAAGUUUUCGGCAUGAUCCCAUGCCACGGCACUUAAAUUCUUAGGUUGUUAUUUACGUUUGUACGCAAGAUUACCUGAAAAUGUUAUUUUUAUUUUAGGAUAAAAAAAUACCAAAAUAUGUCUUGUAUGACACAUACUACUCCAGUAUUAAUGUUCUGUUUUCCAGCCAAGAGAGAAAAUGUACAAAUUGGCACAAAAAGUAGAAACUUAACCUGCCGAAUUGCUACCCCUGAAGCAACCAAUAAGACGGAUGUGAUAAUACAAGCCUGAAGCACCGCAGCUCUACUUGAGCCUGCAACUUGAACAGCGGCAUCUGCAUUCUCAUUGAGCAGUUCGACACUGGCGGAACGACCACUAUUACCAUCAUUAGAAUCUUUGUCAGUCGACUCCUUAUAGCCAUCUGGGGAAAGUAUUUUACUUGUCAGCGUUCCUUCUUUGGUUGUUUUUCGAUCACCGCUCCUUUUCCUCUCAGAUUUUCGUGAUGCAAAUGCUUUGAGUUGUACCUGAUUCCACUUUAAAAGAAAAUAUUGAAUCAGUCGCAAAUGACAAAGGAUUUUGACACGUCAGAGACAUAAGGCCUGCUGGGCUUCAUCAUUAAAAUAUCCUCUACAGCUUCGCAUUGCAGCAGAAGCAGAAACUUCGUAGUGGUUGCUAUGCUAUCAAGGAAUGAAAGCUCAUUCUAGCUUCUCGCCACAGCAAACGUUCAAAACUCUUUCCCAGACAAACACUUGAUUUCUAGAAGCUUGUGCGUUCUGAAGUAGAGAACUCAUUCUAAAGACUACGCAAAAGAGGCACAAAAGGGUACUGAAUAUUUCAAAACAUGAAGACAAUUAUGGUUCGUUUACGAUGAAUACGUCGAUACAUUGAUUAGCUAGAUCUCAAUAAGAAAAAAUGUAACCUAGCACUUACACUGCAUGGAUAAACGAGAAGACGUUUUCUUGUGGUAAAGGGGCUGCUAUACUUUCUACCUGAUUAAAUACGGUCUGUCAAAUGUAAGGAAGCAGAAUUACAUCACAAUCGACUAAAGAAGAUCUGCAUUAAGCAAUUCAAUGAUGAAAAAAGUGGAUCAAAAACUUAUCAAGCAGGAGAUGGUACAAAUGGUGCAAAUCUACUUGAAUUAUCAAACUAUCAAUCAACUUUUCCCCAUCAGGAUCAUGUUGCUAUCUCCUAUUUAACUAGCUAAUGUUAUUCUGAAGAACAUGCUUCAACUCGACUCUUGAAAACACAGUAACAUAUGCGACUAUUCGAACUUAUUGUUUCAGUUCAAGAGCCGAGAAACUAUGACACUAAGGUGAUGGUUUUUUAUUUGGAAGAAAAGGCUUUAGACUCGAAAUAAAAUUUGAAAUCACUACUCAUCUAGCAUCUAAUCACCCAACUAUUUUCUUUAAGGCAUAUUUGGUUGCAUCUUCUUUUGUUUACUCAGUGGUACGAUACUACGAUGUAAUUUGGUUGGUAGAUAGUACGAAAAGAUAUAUUGCCAAGGCCAUGUUCGGAUGCACAGACAUCUUAUUCGAUAUAUCCCUUUGAUUUACUCAAGAAGCAUGUAGUCUUUUGGAAGAAAAGGAGUGUGAUCAAAUGUCUGGAAUGAAUACCAUAUUCAGUCUUCAAAUCAUUUUUUAAAAUAAGAUAAAUCAUCACGUACUAUUCUACCAAAUCAAACUCCUAACUUUCAACCACAAAUUAAAAAAAAAAAAAUCUUCAUUCCGAGUAAGUGAUCAUUAAAUAUCUUACUCCGACAUCGAAACGGGGCCUCAGGGCCUAUUCGGUUGUAUGAAUAUCUUGUUCAGCAAAUCUCUUUUAUUUAUUCGAUCAUAAUUUGGUUGGUAAAGAGUGCGAAAAGACGCCUAUAACUCAAUAGUAUACAUAGUCUCUAAAAUCACCUUGUAUUCGCGCAAUAGCACAUUGCCAUCCGAAACUCAAAAAGGCCAAAAUAAACUACGUCGACUCUCUAAUUGAUUACACCCACCGUCCCUAGAGCAAGUGACAAAGAGCUUGGUGGUUGGUAUCCGAGACCCAAGUUCGAAUCCUAGUUGAUUCACAUUUCCAGCUAAGUUUAUUUCUAAAUUAAAUAAACGAAGCAAGUAGCGUGCUACCUAUCUCUCUCUCUCUCAAAAAAAAAAAAAAAAAAAAAAAAAAAAAAAAAAAAAAAAAAAAAAAGACUCUCUAAUUGAUUACUGUGACUGUUCCUAACGCAAGUGACAGAGGGCUUGANAAAAAAAAAAAGACUCUCUAAUUGAUUACUGUGACUGUUCCUAACGCAAGUGACAGAGGGCUUGAUGAUUGGUACCUAAGAUCCCAAGUUCGAAGCCUAGUUGCUUCGCAUUUUCAGUUAAGUUUAUUUCUAAAAAAAUAAACUAAGCAUGUAGGAUGCGAACUUUCCCUCUCAAAAUUUUUUUUAAAAAAAAGAAUUACUUUCUAAUUAUUUCAAAUUCCUCUACGUUUGUUAACAAUCUUAAAUCGCAUAAGAUUCAAAUAGCUAAGUAAAGUGAUUAGCUAAAUCAAAGCAAAAUAUUAACCAUGAACUAAAGAAUCAACACAACACAACUUCAUAGGCUUUUUUUUUUAUUAUUACUUUUUUAGUUUACUCCCAGGAAACAAUUGAGUGUUUCAUCCAACCAAAAAUGCAAUUUUUAACCUAUGAAAAAUAUUAGAAAAAUACUAAAAAACGAACAUGAGACAAUUAAAGCCCCAAAAUUAAGUUCGAAUCUCUAAAUCCAUAAAAAGAUAAUGAUAAUAAAAGGCAAAAAGAAAAAAAAAAAAAUUUAAAGGGUGUGAAUCAAAUACCUAACCUUGUGAUGAGGAGAAGAGCGAGUGAUUAGGUGGGAAAUUACUCCCGAAUCUCAUCAACGUGCUCGUUGUAUUAAACAUUUUCGAAAAUAACAAAAAAGAAAAGUAAAAAAAAUAGUGGCGACGAGGAAAUUAGGGAGCUAGAAGGACCAAUUUGUAAAAUUAUGAUUUUUUUUAAAAAAAAGAAAAAGAAAAAAAGAAUUUGGCGUGUGCGAUGGGUCGAUGUGUGAGACUAAAAAUGAGCGGCUAUGAAUGAGCGUUCUUUAGACGGGAUAAAUGCAUAUCCACCCCCUAAACUUUAGAUAUUUGUAACAAAACUUUUAAUUUUGCUAAUAAACAGAACCAUCGAUCAUACCCAGCGUAGUUAGCUAAGAAAGCUAAGAAAUUAAUAGUUAGUAUCUGAGAUACCAACACUACAACAAAAUUCGGUUAUAGGGACACAUAUUUGAAAUACUUUUGAGUAAGUAUCCCAUUUAUGCUAAAACUUAAAAAUACAUCUAUUAAUGCCUAAAUAUAAAGCCCAAUCCAACCAAAAAUAAAAGAUUACUUUACUCAACCCACCACACUCAGUCCAUUUGGCCCGAUUAUAAAUAGAAAAAAAAAAAAAUCAAUUACCAUCUUUUCUUCUCUCUUCACUCAAUCCACUGAAAUUUUAGACGAAGAGCCUUUACUGUCGUCCUCCUCCGCCGCCGCAGCCAACAAGAUAGAGUUUCGGCAGUUGCUAAAUGCUUAAAUAAGUGUUGGUAAAUUAGCAGCACUUUUUUAGGUUAUAGCGACACUCUUUAACUGUCACUAUAUACCUAGCGACCCCACAUAUAGCAACACUUUUUAAAAGUGCCGGUAAUUUUAGCUAGCAGCACUUUUUUGACAUGUACCUAUAUUUAAAAGUGUCGCUAUAGACCGUUUUUGUUGUAGUGGAAGUUCUCAAUCUAAUAGCUUCACAUUUCUAGCUUGAGCAAUUUUUACUUAUGAUCACUCAAAAUUUAAAAAUACAAAUGAGAAAUCUAGGCCUCGUUUCGUAUCGUUGCUAUUUUUUUAACAUUUUAAGUAAUAAUUCCAUAUAUAUAUAUUUUUUUCCUGAUGAUCACAAAAAACUUAAAAAUACAUAAUAAGAAACCUAUGCCUUGUUUGAUUUCGUUGCCAUUUUUUAAAAACUUUUUUAAGCACCAGUUCUCCAAAAUUUGACGUACCGGAAGAAAGAUCGUGUUGAUAGUAUUUUUACUGGUGAUCAUGCAAAACUUAAAAACACAAAUACGAAAUCUUGGCCUCUUUGCCUCUUUUGAUACCGUUGCCAUUUUUAACUCUUAAAAAAAAGAAAAGAAAAAAAGACAGAUAGCAUAUUAUCCGCUUCGUUUAUUUCAUUUUUAGAAAUAAAUUUAGGUAGAAAUGUGAAUCAACUAAGAUUUGAACUUGAAAUCUAGAAUAUCAACCACCAAGCUCUUUGCUAUUUUUAACUCUUUUAAACACUAUUUCUAUAUACUUUUUAACGUCUUGAAGGAAGGAUUGUGUUCGUAGUAGGACUUUUACUGAUGUUAAAAAUACAAAAAAAGAAAACCUAUGCCUAGGUAGGUAUCAUUGCCGCAUUUUAGUUUUUUUAAGCACUAAUUCUGUAUAACUUGACAUAUUGUGUUGGCAUUUGGUUAAAUCGAAUCGGGUACGCCCAUAAUCAGGCUCGAUCCGAUGGUUAUUAUGUUAUCUAAUUGGAUGAGGAUUAAUCUCACUUUUAAAUUGAAAAGCUAAUUAGAGAUAAAUUCGAAUCAUAUUAGUAUAACAAUUAAUAAUCGAUUUGGCCUUAUCUCUUACGCUCUUAGGAUUUUGGAAUUCCAUAUAAAUAUGCGGGCAAUCCCACAUAAAACGAUGAACGAAAAAUAAAAAGAAUAAGAAAAUAAAAAGAGAGAAAUCAUAUCCUCCAUUAACCUAUUAUUCUAAAGGGACUUGAACGGUGGAUUUGCGAUCGUGCUCGUUUGUAGUUCAAUCCACUGCAAGUUCGGGACGUAAGAAGAUUUUCAAGGACGAUCCAAGGACACGUGAAUCAACCUCUACGAUCCGGGCUUGUCGCGUAGUAGCGCGAAUCGCUUCCGCAAAAAGAUACGAACCAAUACUUCCGCUGCGUUCGACAUAUUGGAAGAAAAAUAUCAUGUUGGUAGCACUAAUUUUGUAUAACUUGACACAUUGGAAGAAAGAUCAUGUUGGCAGCGUACCCGUAUCCUAGUCAGUAAAUUCGUGACUUAUUCAUGAAUUAUUGAAAAUUCGAAUUAAACGGUCCGUUUUAUGAAUUUAAAAAAAAAAUUAUUCACAAAUUUUUGGGCCAGUCGAAUUAUUCGCGAAUAAUUCGCAAAUUAUUGCCGAAUUAUUAAAAAUAUGAAGAAAAAACUUAUAAUUUUUAUUUUUAAAUAUAAAUUAUCUUAUAUUUUAUAUUUUAUACCAAUCCGUUUUUUAAGCCGAAUUUUUUAACAAAUUUAAAAAUUAAAAAAUAAAUUUUAUACGUAUUAUAUCCGUACCGAAUUUUUACCAAAUCCGAAUUAACUAACUAUGAUCCGUCGUCACCUUUUUACCUUUUUAAGCACUAAUCUAUUAAACUAUAUGAAUCCUCAAUAACUUUUGCCACGUGUCAAAUUUUUCUUCAUCCACACCUGAUCCUUCUCUUCCCUGAACCAAACCAUGUCUCUUAUUAAUUUUUGAACCGAACCGCCUCUCUAUUCUCUUUUCUGAACCAAGCCUCUUAAGUUCUGAACCAAUCCGCCUCUCAAUCCUUUCCCUUUUUUUCGUAUAGCAAGUAAUGUCUCCCCUUCUUCUCCGCGUUGUGCAUCGUUCCACCUCCCUCUUCCGACCUAAACACCAAGAGCCCCAAAUCCCUAGGGUUUUCGCUCCGGGAUAGAUACAAAUCACUUGCUCCAAUCUCUGAUUCCGGCCCCUAGAUUUUGUGAUGGAUGGGGUCUCUAUCCCUCGGGGUCGCUCUGUGGAAGGGAAAACACCAACCUAUGGAGAGAGAGAAACAGAGAGAGAUGAAUUCGUGAGCUGAUAAAGGAGACAACCCAACCUGGUUUCAAUGUCCUCCGCAAGCGCCAUUACUACAAAUUGCUAAAAUGUGGUAAUGGAAAACAUAUUAAUUAAUGGGUUCUAGAUGAUUAUUUUUGACUAGGUUAUUUGAAACAUAAAGUACGUCCCUUUAGGUUUCAUUGGUUUCAUAUUUGCCGAUCAAUGUUGAAUUUUUCUAGAGAUUUCAUAAAAUAGAAAAGACUUUAAAAUUUACUAUAAUACUCGCAAUGAAUGUUGGUUCAAUGGAGUGUGCUAACACAUAGAAAAACAACAACAUGAGAAAUCAAUAAAAAGCAGAGACUGCAAGCCAUAGAAGAGGGUACAAUUUGUAAGCAUCAUCUUUAUUCUUUGCACCUCAUUCUCUUGAGCAGGAUGGCAAUAUCUAUCAUCAAUUACUUGAAAUAUGCUUCUAAAAUUCUUUAAAGAUUUCAUGUUGGAGUGUGAUGUGCAGUUUCCUGUAUUUGCAUGUGUACAAGAUUUCAUGUUGGAGUGUGAUGUGCAGUUUCCUUUAUUUCAUGUUGGAGUGUGAUGUGCUUUUGUUUGUUUUGAUACUGCCUCAGCUGGUUCAGUAAGUAUAAGCAAAAUACAUGUGGCUACAUAUGAAACUAAUCAAAUUAUACUUCGAGAUUAUUGGGUAAAAAGUAUUUCUCUCCUGUUUGUUUUGGUGAACCAAGUUAUAUCUCUUUUUAAGGAUUGUGCCUUUUUUUCCAUUCUUUGUCUAGAUAAGUUUUCAACUAAGUUUUUUCCUUUAUGACGGGUCUCAUUGGAGCUUCUGUAUUCUGUUGUAGGUGAAAAUUUUAUAUGAUUCCAAACUAAUUUGUCAAAAAUAGUUUAAUAUUUCGUGAAUAAGUUCUUCCCAUCUGGGUAUCCGCACAGGUUUGGUAGCAUAAACAGAUCUGUAUUUGCUGCUUUUUAGUGAAUGUAGGAGUAUUAUUUCUUAUUGAAAACCAUAAUCUAUUAUGCAAUGUGAAUGAGGUGUACCUGACCUAUACCCAAAUCCAAGCACUCCAACAUUUAUCCAGUGCUGCAUUGUCUGUGCUGUCAACAUAAUUAAUUUGGAUUUGGAUUCUUCAGCGUCCAAUCCUACGGCAUGGGAAAUGAGUCCAGUGGUGAGCCCAUGAUCUCAGGCGACCUCAAGAUCAAUAUCAAGGGGAAGCACCUGAUCUUGGUAAAUGCCUUGCGUUUUACAAAUUUUUGACUUUUGUUUAGUGUUUAAUUCUAACUUGAUGUGAAUAUAUCAAUAAUAAAUAGGAUAGUGGACAAAAACUGAUACUUAAAAAUUUUAUUUUUUUCACUGAAAAAUCUAAUUUUUGCUUAUAUGUAAGUUGAUUGAGUUGCUUUAUAUCUUCUUUAUUUAGAAAUUUGUGUAAUGUUAGGAUGUACUACUCUUUCUUUUUUGCGGAAAACUGAUGAGAUAAUCUUUAGAAUUUUUUAUCAUUAUCUAUUUUUGAGUCAUGACGAAAAAAAAAAUUUUGCACAAUAAUAUCUGCCAGCUGAAUCGCGCGGGUUAACUACACCAGUAUACAUUAUUCCUCAUAGCUUUGCCACAUGGCAAUUCCACCUUCGUUCUUACCUUUUCCCCUUUUUUCACUCCAUGGCGCUUCGUCUUCCCAUCUCCUAUCUCCGCUUAAUGUUUCGUCUUCUCACUUAUUCAUUUUCUAAUUAAUGCAUUCAUAUGCUAAUUGUCAUAUGAACAAAUCACUUUCAUAAAAAAUAAAAAAAAUGAGUAAAAUAAAAUCUAUUCAUAUUCUUUUGUUUUUUCAUACGAUUUAUAUUUAUUGAUAUCUCAUUGCAACUAAAAAAUUUUUAAAAUUGUUAUUUUAUCAAUCUUUUAUAUUUUUUAUAGUAUUAGCCCGCCGCAAUGCACUGGUAACUUCACUAGUGUAUCUUUAAUUCUCAACUUUGAAAAUGAUACCAUUAAGUACUGAAUUUAAUUCUUCAAAAAAGACUUAUAACAAGCUAAGAAAGAAAAGCGCACACCAAAAAAAAAUAAAAAAAUAAUAAAAAAAAAAUUUCUCACAUCAGGAAGAAGUAGAUGCAUACAUACAUACAUGGCUAACACAUAUAUACAUGGAUAAUACAUUUUAAAUAACAAUAUGCUAAGUACGCCAACAUAUUUUCACACGUACAUUUAUAUGUUCACAUAGUGGUAGUAGCAGUAGGAAACACUGGAGACGCAGAACAACAACCUAUAGCUAAGCACAUGCGACUCCGCGACAACCAUGGGCUAACGUUUUACAUGUCCAGUAACAAGAAGGGCAGCACCUGCAGCUGCAUCCCCUACUGCGGCAAUCGCGGGACGCCACAGUGGGCGGAUCACAUUCCUGCCACUGCACUCACCGUAUUCCACGCCACUGCCGUCGUUGUUGCUGCUGCUCACGCCUAUCCCGUCGCCACCGUGCUUGUCUCGCCUCUCCAUAUUGAGAUACUUUCAUAUACGAGCACCAUGAGAGAGAGCCAUGAGAGUGAGAUGAUCAUGAUGUUAAUAAUGAGGAUGGGUAAAAGAUGAUCAUGAGAAGCAGCUUACUGAUUGGAGUGUCCUCCCCUUUUCAAGAAGCUUCUCCCCCUGCAAAUCUGCAAUAUAGCAAGUCUUUUCUUUUUUUUUUUUGAGAGAGAUAGGUAGCAUGUUAUCCGCUUCGUUUAUUUCAUUUAGAAAUAAACUUAGUUGGAAAUAUGAAUCUACUAGGAUUCGAACUUGGGACCUCGGGUACCAACUAUCAAACCCUUGGCCACUUGCGCUAGGGACGGUCGGUGCAAUAUAGCAAGUUAAGAUAGACAAACCGAAAUGAUUGUGCGCGUAAACUUAUUUUAAAAUGGUAGCAUGCAUGGUUAUCUUGCAUGUAAGUGGUUCUACGACUCUCUCGGGUUCGUUCCCUCAGCAAUUUUGAAGAUUUAAUUGAUCUCUAUGCUCUUAUCAUGCUGGUUCAAAUGCGUCGUUUAAGUAGAACUUUUUAGGAAGCACUAGCAGCCUUUUUUCACAUUUUUGUUAUCAUCCACUCAGUCUAUCCUACUGCAGCAAGAUAUUCAGGGGAACUUAGUUUGUGUUAGCUUCUCGUUACAGCAAAAGCAUAAGAACUUUGUUUGCCAAACACACGCUAUCUGUCUUCGGAGUAAAGAAGUUCAAAAUCCUAAGCCCUAACUUGCACAAAGUGAUGAAUAGUAUUAAAUGGUGGUUUAAGGAAUCAUGACCUCUUAGUCCUUGGUGAAGGUUGUUGAGAAUUUAUCAUGAGAAAUUAGUGGGAAUGCUAAAAACUGUUAGAAGAGGAUCAUUAGAUGCUGAUGGUAAUCAAACAAAGAAAAGAGAUUUGUUAGUGUGCAGUUAGAGCUGUCACACCCGAAUUGUUCUAUAACUUGUGGAGCGGUUUCUCUGCAAUGUGCGACGUAUAACUAGGGCACUUAUCUUGUCAACUUGGACUUGAGCAUCUUGGACCACAAUAUCGAAAGACAGCUUCUGCAAAUAGCUACAAACAAUUAAUAACGGGCUAGUUGUGCUUUACGAAGUGAUUUAACAACCAAGAUCUAUAUCUUCCUAAGUAGAUUAGUGCUUAUCUAGUCUAGUACAAAAUUAUGGACAUGGAUGCUAUGGAUAAAGAAGAUUCUUGACCUAAAAUUUCCCUUUGCAUCACCCCUAUCAAAGAUCAUAUUCUAGUUGUGAAAUGCUAUGCACGGUAGAGGAUAAGAAGAUUCCCAACCUAAAAAAUAGAAGUGUUUUUCUUUAAUUUUCCCCUCUGCAUUCCCCGUAUCUAAGAUCAUAUUCUAGAAGGUGUGAACUGCUAUGCACUAUACAUAAGUGCAUCAGAAAAUCAAAGUUAUCUAAGUUGAUCAAUUCAAGAGUUUUCACAUACCUUUUCCUGAAGCUCAGCAAUCAUAUCCAUCAUCACCUAAGUCUGUAUGCAUGCACAGCACAAGAUUAUAAAGUAAAAUCUGUAAAGAUGCUUUACCAUCUUCGCAAUUUGGCAUAAUAAAUUUGAACACAAUUUGGCAUAAAGAUGCUUAACUCCUCUUUUUUUUUCGUUAGAAGCCGAGAUGCUUCACCCUGUUGCUAAAUUCAAUUUCUUACUUAAUGAAGCGGUAGCAUACUACCUUUCUCUCAAAAAAAAAAAAAAAAAAAAAGAACCGUGGGUGCCAUUUUAAAGAUCUAUACUUCUUUCGGUAAGAAGUUUCUCAUCCAAAUCAUGAAAUUUUCCCGCUAAACGGGGUAACGUUUGCUAACCUUCUGGGUCGUUGUUUGUGUUAAUGCACCAUCCAGUUCACUUUCAACUUUGGUUGAGCUCAUCAAAGCUCAGCUGUGUGAUGUUUAAGCUAUAGUUCUGCUCUUAGUGUUGAAGAGCAAUUCAUCAAGCACUUCUGUAGUGUUGAAGAGCAAUUCAUCAAGGCACUUCUGUAGUUUCCCCAUUCUUUGAAUUGAAUUUGUCACCUCUUCUUCCUUGUUUUGAGCAAAUCUCAGGAUUAGAUGUGCACAUUAAUCUUCAUCAGUAGGAAAUCUCUGUAUUAUCUUACAAUAUGUUAUCUUUAUUUUAUUUGGUCUGGUGAUUGUGGCUAUGUUUCUCAUGUUCAGAAGUAUUCAUUUUGUUCAGAAAUAUAUCUGACAUUUGUGUGCAUUUAUAUCUGACAUUCGUUAACAUCCAUGCACCGAAAAGUCAAAAACAAAAAAAAAAAACAAUCUUCAAUACUGAUAAAAGAAGCAAAUCUUCAGUACUGCUAAAACAUGGGGAGGAUAAGGGAAUACUUCAAUACUGCAAAAACAAUCUUUGAACAGGUUUGAGCAUCCUGCUUCAAUUACUUGUUCAAUCGGACCAAAAGGAAAAAAAAAAAAAAGAAAAAGAAACCAUCAGUUCAUAGCAAAUCCAAAAGAGGAAAAGCUAUCUUCAAGACGCUCUGACACUUCAAGCAGCAGUCAAAGGGAACAGACGGAAUAUGUGGUUCAGCACCUGGUAGCUCCCCUGAUGUGUCGGCAUCAAAAUGAACAUCUACAGAAGUUAAAAAAAGGGGGAAAAAAAAAAAAAAAAAGCAAUUAGGUCCCUCGUCAUUAGCAUUUGAUACAUAUAGGUUGAUAGCAAUGACUGCAUAUACAAAGAAAAGCCUUACAUCAAGGUUAAUCAAAGAUGACUUUGGUGGAGGCGAAAAAAAAAGGGAUCACUACAGAAAAGUCAAAAACACAAAUAAAACACGGACGCAUGCUCGCAAAACAAUUGCACAUAUUACACACACGCACGCACGCACGAGCGCGCACAGCUUUUGAGGGGAGUUAAAUUCUUUGCCAAUGAUGCCAAACAACAAACUAUGCGCUUAUUUUGUCAUUUCAUUGAGCUUUUGAAUGGAGUUAAACUCUUUGCCAAUGAUGUCAAACAACGCACGUGUGCAACCAUUUUGUCAUUUCAUUCAAUUGGAAUUAUUGUAGUCAAAUUCUUCGCCAUGGUCCAAAGGUCCUAUCACAAUCAAUCCAAUCCUAGAGCUUCUUUGUUACAUAAUUACAUAAUUAACCACUUUCCUCGCAGAUUAAUAGACCCAGACGUACACUUGAUCAAUCAAAUCACUCUUGAGCAAAACCGUCUUCUUCACAACUUAUGAAGAUUCAAAAGUUUCUUUUAUUUUCCCAUCUAACCUAACUUCAUCAGCUUUUUUUAUUCCUCUUUUACAAUAGUUUAUCAUAUUUCUAGUUCAUCCAGCUCGUAGAAAAAUGAAAAAAACACACAAUAGCACAAGGGUCAAAUAUCUUUUUUCUAGAUACUUAGUAAUCCUAAAAGAGAACCUCAAAAUCAAUCUCUCAUCUAAAAGCUAUGGGGCGUGCCAAAUCCAUGCUUAAGGAGCAAAAAUUCUCCUUCUAAUCAUAGUAGCAAUCAAUAAGAUCGGAUUCAAAUCUCAAACAGGCGCAUAAGAUUUCCCCUAAAAGAACAAUUAACUAAGAAAGAAAACCCUAAAUUCAUAAUCCACAAAUGACCUCAUUCUCUAUUUAUUAAAAAAGAAAGUAAGACACAAAAAAAAAAAAACCCCCAAAAGAACAGAAGAACACAACACACGGAACCGUAAAACAGGCUCACCACAAGGAAAGCAUAGAAUGUAUAGGAGUAAAGGCACAUCAAUUAGUCUUUAUCUAGUAGGAUAAAAGACCAUUAUCUGAUCGGCAAUCAUCAUUUAAACAUGAUUGAGUGAACACCAUAUCAAAUAGGAAAAGAAUAAAUAAAUCUAACAAGGAUAUCUUUCUCCGGUUGCUUUAGCACCAAAAUAAGUUUAAAGAAGGAAAAUAGUGAAGGUAAAAACCAUAAAUCUGGCUGAUGAUCUCUUCCUCCAUUCUAAUUAUGCCGGCUUGGCAUAAAAGGAAAAGUAAAAGAAAAAAAAAAAAAAAACCCGGGAAAAAUCGACAAAAACAAAAACCCCUAGGUCCAUUUUCACCACAAGGAUCAAACACAAAAGGCACAAGAAAUGAAGUGCUAUCAAUCAAUCGAGUAAUCUAUCUCUUCUCUCUUCUUUCUUACUUAGAUUGGGGAGUAGAAUAUCGAAUCGAAGAAAAAAUAAAAAGCCAAACUCUAGAUGGAACCGAACACAAGAAUCGAAAGAAAGAAAGAAACUACUGACCUGGCUGAACAUGCUCUUGCUCUGGUGGUUUUCGCCGGCGAGCUGGAUGGCGCCGGAGACCGAGAGGAGCAAGCCACACUGGGGGCCACCCUGGGGGUCAGAGUCCUGGCAGCAGUCGACGUUGUAGAUGUCGUGGAGCUGGAAGGGGAGGGAGGCUAGCUUGGCGACGAUGGCCUGCGCGCCCUGGAUCUUGUCGCCCUCGAACGUUAGCAUCGACCCUUCCUGGUACAGCUCCCCCAGCGCCGCCCGGUUCCGGUUGAACGUCAUGCAGUAGUGCUCUACGAACUCCCGCGCCAUCACGUCCGGAUCGAUCGAUCGAUCGCUCGCUCGCUCGUCCAUUGUUAAGAAGAUGUAAAUGAUCACGAUGAUCUCUCUCUCUCUCUCUACUCUCGACAGAGAGGGAGAGGGAGAGGAAGAGGCAGAGGCGAACGGAGGAGAGGAGGGGGGCAGCGGCAGCGCUCCUUAUGUAUGAUGAUAAUAAUACAUAUAUAUAGGGAUAUAAAUGAGAAACCCUCCAAAGUCGGUGAUUAAUGGAUGUGCUAACCUACUUUCGCCCACCACCCUUUUUUUUGGUGCACCCGGUGUACCAUGUUUACUUUAAAAUUUUAAUUUUAAUUUUAAUUUAAUAUAAUAGGUAUAAUAUUUUAUUAUAUUUAAAAAAUAUAUGUAAAAAAUAAUUUUAAAUCUUAAAUUUUAAAUUAUUUUUUAUAUAUUUAGUUUUUCGUAUCAUCAUUUAAUUGUUGGUUAAAACUAAUAAUGUAUCCAAAUAUUUUUGAUUCGCUAAUUCGUCAUUAAUGAAUUGUGUUACAGGCCAGGUUGGAAAUACCAACAAAAUUCAGACGCUUCUAUUUAGUGCUAUUCUGUCUAACUGGGGGAAGGUAUGUUUCAAAAACUAAAUUGCAGUUAAUGAGGGAGGUUGCUGACAAAGUUGAUACGCAUCUUGAGCUUGCUCCUGCCCUCGGAGGUGAGCUCCGAAUGCAUCUCCGUAGUCAUGGCAUCCGCGAUCCGUCGUAGCUUUCCAAUAGGUGUGGCACACUGCUCCUUGAGCUCCCUCACUAUUGCCACUACCCUCACCCACCACCCCCAGCUCUGCAUUCAGUGCUGCACCACCACCUCAGCCACCGCGCACGCCGUCGCCGUCCUCACCGCCGCCUUUCCCAUCUCCUCUGACUAGGGGGAGAAAUAAAAUAUGUAGAUUAUACUUUGUACUUGAAAUAAUUGCUAUUUUUAUUAUUAUGGUGUGAUUUUUUGCUUCCAAAUCUUAUGUGAGUUUAUUUUAUUUGAUAUUUGAAAGUUUUUAUGUAUGGCAGACUUUUUUGUUGUUUAAAAUUAUUGAAUAUAGUUGCUUUCGUUUAAUUUUAGCUUCAAGUACUCUAAUUUUCUGAUUUCUUCUUCUUCUUUUUUUGCUUAUAUGGCAGUUGAUUGAGUUGCUUUAUAUCUUCUUUAUUUAAAAAUUUGUGUAAUGUUAGGAUGUACUACUCUUUUUUUUUUUGCGAAAAACUGAUGAGAUAAUCUUUAGAUUUUUUUAUCAUUAUCUAUUUUUGAGUCAUGACGAAGAAAAAAAUUUUGCACAAUAAUAUUUGCUCGCUGCAUCGCGCGGGUUACCUACACUAGUUCUAUAUAAUUUGACGUACUGAAAAAUUUUAAAAAAAAUAAUAAAAAAGAAAAAGAAAAAAGAGAGGUAUUGAUAGCAUCUUUAAUUAAUGAUCACGCAAAAUUUAAAAAUACAAAUAAGACCUAUGCCUAGCUUGGUAGUUUGGUACCAUGGCUAUUUUCUCAAUUUUGUAAGCACAUACUAUAAAAUUUAAUGUGUAAUGAAAACAACUUUAUUGUUUUUUAACUUAUUAGCUCACAAUGCAUUCCACUAAGAGAUAGAUGGCCAUUUAUUUUAAAAAAAAAUUUGGAAGCGGAAACAAAUUGUUUUCAAGUUUUAUUUAUUGUUGUUAAGUGAAAAAUUAUGGAUGAAAAAAAUUAUAAACAAUUCGCUAUCCACUCUUCCACUUUUUAAUAUACAAAAAUUUUAUUUAAUAAAGUAAAAAAUAAACUUUUUUUUUUUUUUUUUGCAUUUAUUCAUAUCAAAUUCUCUUACUCAACAUAGAAGCUUACAAAACCUUUUAAAUAUAUAAAAAUAGACAUUUGAAAUUUUUAUUUGUAAAAAUAAACUGAUAAAAGCAAUAAAUCAUUUACAGCAUUGUACCCUAAUUUAUAUAUUUCCUACAUCCAAACUUCAAAAUAUAUAUAGUAUUAAACACUAAAGAUAAGAUGGAUAAAUCAUUCACCGUAUAGAACUAAUUUUAUAAAGUUCUUAAAAAUUUUAUUUUUAUAAUUAUAAUAUUUUCUAAGUGUAUUAAUAAAAAAAAAUUCCACCCAUUAUGUAAAAAUAUUGAGGAAUAAACCAAUAUUCCGCCUAUAAGGCAAAGGCGAACUCACACAAUCGUCACAAUCGAAAUCCGUAAACACUGUAUCUAUAAAAAGCUCGAGAUUUUUAAAUUAUGGUUAGCAUCAACUAUCCAACAGAAAAUACUCAAAAAAAUGGCACAGCAAAAGGAUCUCUGUAACUGCUUUACCUGUCAGACUGGUACAUGAAUUUUCCUGCAAAGGCAAAUGUUUGACAGAAGUAAUUCUAUUCUGCACAAUUUACCCAGCAUGAAGGCAGACUGCCUGUUUGAUCCCGUUUCUGCUUCUGCUUCCGACGGCAGUAGGAUGGCGUAAAGCAUUUGACGAACAAAAAGUUUUAAACUUUCUGCUGCGGUGAAAAGCAGAAAUGAGAUUGUAAAGCACAAAAGCAAGAGCUCUAAUUUGAAACUGUAACUCUGCCGUUAAAUAGAAGCCAAAUAAAGCACUACUCAAACAGCACUGAACCCAAACAUAAAUCAUGUUUAGCCUAUAAACCAUCUAAACAUAUAUUUCAAAUUUAAAGUGCAAAAAGGAGCUACAAGGAACCCUAAAAAAAUCUAAAUAAAUCCUUUCCGUUCGCACGAAACAAUGAAAAGACAAAAGCCACUAAGAGCAUUCAAUCCAACACUCCAUCUUAAAACACAGCAUCCGAAGCACAUUCGCAGCUAUUUAAAAGCAAAAAAAAACCAUAGAAUUAAAGCAUUACCAUCACGUGUUAACUUUGCGCUUUUCCUAUUUUUUAACUUGAAAUAAACAAUCCCAAAGGAUUCAAUUGCAAUAGCAAUUGUGCGACCGAACAAGAAUGCGAGAGUACGAAAGAAGGCGCGAUAUUUUUUUCCUGCUGAAAAAGACAAGUAAAUGAAGCUCAGUGCAGAUAAUCACACUUAAAUAUCAAAUUUAAGGAUUGAAUUAAGGAGUAAUUACUAACCUCAACUGUUUCAAGGAUACGGGAACCAAAAGCUAAAGUUUAAUAUGAAUUAUUGCCUUCUCUCACUCUUGUAGAUUUUCGAAGCCAAUUGAAAGCCAACCACCGACAGCGAAGGUAACUCUUCACGAGCUCAUUCUUCAUUCUUUUUUUUUUAAUCUUUUUCUCCUUUUCUUCUUUUUUUGUAGAUUUUUUCUGAUAUAUUCGUCUUUUUUUUUGUGGUUUCCAUUAAAUAAUCUGAACACUGGCUUGUUGAAGCUCAUCGGCCACAGCGGACAGAAAAAAUAGAAAAACGCCGACUAGCCAGAUUUCAACCAGCUGCAGAGCCAGACAAAAUCAAAAGAAAAAGGAAAAAAAAAAAAGAAAAAGAGAGCAAUAAGUCGAAUAAUUUCUAUUCCUCCUCGACAACGUCUUCUGCAUUGUGCGGAAGGUCAGCGCAGUCGCAACAAAUGUAAUCGAAGAAAAAGGUUUCGUCCCAGUACUCCCCAUCCUUAAUGCACUUCCCGCACUUAACACACCUUUUAAUGCAAGAUUCACAAGCCCUGCAAAGAUCCAACCCUCCUCUACAGCUUUCCCUAGGGCAAUCAUAGACAAGCCGGCAUCUAUAGCACUUAGGGCACAUCUCGACAUCGAGCGGGCGCUCAUCGCCACAAUCUAAAGAAAAGCGAUCGACGUGAAAGAACCACAGCUUUUUUUUAGCAUUUGGUUUCUGAAGUUGGUUUACGCCUAGUAAUAACUUGAUCUGUUCAAACUGUUCCUUUGAUAUGCGGAAGAGCCGGCCAAGUCUGAGGUGUUUUAUUCCGGAAGAACCUGACGAUUUAAAAGCUGUCAGGUUGCUGAUGAGACCGGGUGUUGUCAGACCCGUACAUUCCAGGAGAUUCAACUGCAUGACAAAAUAAGAUGCCAUUUUUUUUAUGACAAGAAAUAAUGAAAAGAAAAAGAAAUACAACAGAAUAUCAAUAUACACAACCGACAAUUGGUACCCACUCUACUCGACAAUUAUAUAGAGAAAAAUAGUUCAUAAGCUGCAUAAAAUCAUAAUAUUAAUACCCAAAACCAUCCUAACAAUAAAAGCUCGCUAUGUUUCCCAAUCACUGGAGUAAACUGUUAGCUAAUAUAUUGAAGCAAUAGAUGAUGGAUUCGCCUGAAAGGGGAGUUUAAGAAAAUCAAAGGUCGUCCUUAACAUGCUGACAACCAAAAUAAAGCUCUUUGGCACCACAAAAAUUUGACUGAGAAUCAAUAGAAAGUAGGAAACUUAACACAAAACCAACUCUACACAAAAGUAAAUUACUUGAGCCAAUUAUAAUCGAUGCUAGACUUGAUCCACCAAAUUACACUCAAUUUAGCGUACUGAGCCGAUGUACAUUUCCCCAAUGUGUUAGACCACCAAUUUACUGGUGGCUCGUUUAGUAACACGAUGGGUGAAACAGAGCAUUCGAAACGAAAAGUUUGGCCCAGAUAUGCAAAUGCAAUGCUCGAACAAAUAAACUCCAAAAAACUACAUUUUGGUCUAAUAGAAUAAGCAAUAUCAAGGCAAUCAAGCACAUUCAGAGCUCCGGAAUAUCAUUUCCCAAUAUUUGCAGUGUAUCUGCAAUAGAACAAAGCAUACCAUUGUUACCAAUCAAAACCAAUGCAUAUUGUCCUUUUUUCUUCUUACUAUUGUCCUUUUUCCUUCUUACUCUUGUUGUUUUCUUAGUUGCUUCUUGUCCCAAAUAAUAUAAUUUUUGAAUAUGUGGUAUGAAAUAUACGUCUUUUCCACAGGAAAAUUUUUUUUAAAAAAAUCCCAGAAUAAGUUAUAAGAUCAUUUAAUUGUUAUGUUAUAAAAAUAGAUAGUGGUUGGAAGCAUCAGCUAAUCGCUACAGAAAGUUGGAUAGCCCAAGAUAAACGAUGUUGCACAGUAAGCCUUGCAUUCUACAUGAUAUUCCCGUAAGAUUUCAUUAACAGACUUCAAUCUAAAAUUUACUCAUAGAACUUCAGUCCGUACCAACUCUGCACCAAUCGGUACAUUAAUUAUCAAAAAUUACAUGUAAAACAUUCAAUGUUUUUAAGAGAAAGUAGUCUAUAGAUAUCCAGGUGCACAUGGACUUCAAAGUAAAUUAAACGAUGUUUUAAAACAUAAUGAAAAGAAAUUUAAAAAUAAGCAAUAAGUAAAGAGAAACACAUACAAUAAACAACAAGAAUAAGAAAACAUAAAACAACAUACCUAAAUACAUAGAGUAUAUAACACAUCGAAUUCCCAAGUAACUUUUCAAGAACAUGUACUAAGAAUGAAAAAGACGAAUAACCAAAUAUGAUUGUCAAGUUUCCAAGUAGCCCAUCACAGAAGUGCCAUGCUAAACCGACUUUUAUAUGCUUAAAAUUAAUGAUAGUAGGCAGGUUGCUCAUGUGUGUACUAUAUCGCACCUAUGCCACAUGCUGAGCCAUCAAUGCAAAUUGCAGAGUGAUAAAGCGACUACACCACAUAGGCUGGCGCAUAUGUGGGUACAUGAACAGCAUCUUUAGAGAUCGUAAAUAUGUGGUAAUUAAAAAAGUCAUUUAUUUCUCUUACAUUGAGCAAGAGCAGAUACAGAUUAACAAACUUGCUUUGCUGUAACAUCAGGGAAAAGCAAAAUUACCACCUUGGGUGAAAAAAAAACUACAAUCUGAAUGUAUGAGCAAUAUAUACUCGCAUAAAACUCAUUUUGCGCUUGUACUUUACGCAUGCUUCAUAAUUAGUGAUGACUUCUAUGCACGGCAUUAACUAAUCAAGCAGUAAAAUGAAUGGCGAUAUCUCCAAAUGAACUGACUAAGAUCACAAUCAAUCAAUAAAUAAUUAGGAUGCCUAAGAGAGCUAUAAAAUUUGCAAACAGAACGAGUUUCAUCAUGGACAAGUGGUAUAGUUUGUGCUGUUAGGCCCAAAUUUUAAUCAUGCCCGACCCGUAAGAAAGGAAGGGGGAAAGAUAUUCUUAACGAUUAUUACAGUAGAUUAUACCUCAAAAUAAGAGAAACAAUUUCACGAACAAUCCAAACCUAAAAAUAGCAACGAACUAUGGCAAUAAGACAGGCGUUCUAUGUGAUUCCAAAGCAUAGCAAUGCAAGAUACGGAAGAAGCAUUAUAACCAAACAAUAAAGCAACAAUUCUCUUCAGCACAGAAUAAAAAAAGAAAAGGCAUUUCAAAAAUACCUUGCUCAGCCGCGGAUUAGCCGCAAGCACGCGCUUGAGACCGUCGUCAGUGAUCCCUACACAUCCAGGCAUGCUCAAGCACCGCAAACUGCCUUGGGCCCUCUGCGUCAGCGCAAAGAAAGCAUCGUCUGGGAUCUUACGAUUGAAAUCGAGAUCUACAUGAAUGCACCUCCAAAGAAGGGGAUCAUUUCGAACGGCAUAAUAAAGAGAUUUGCAGACCCUCUCGACCGAAAGGAGAUCCUUAACUCCCAGCUUACCAAGAGCAUAAAACAGACCCUCAUGGGGAACACCCACUUCCGCACUCGUAGCCCCAUUUUCGGCUUCACAGCCACCUCUGUAACCGAUCUGGGAUUCGAAUGCCGCAUUGCAAUAGCAACCGGAGCCAUCCAAAGAAUUAUCUUCAACUACAGCAUCACCAACCCGAUAAUUAACGGCGGGAUCGAAAGCGUUUUCCGGAUUCAUCUCAAAAGGAUCGGACGGCAAAAGCUCGACCAAAUCGACGAAAUCAUCCACCCCUCCGAACGACAUCGACAACGACGAAUUCAGGGGCAUCAACUCAACCCCUCCAAAAACCCUAAAAUCUAAACCUAAAAAUUUCCUUUUUCAACCCAACACAAACUACUUGUUUCUUAUUCUUUCUCUCCUGCAAACCCUCGAUUUCCGAUUGCAAUCGAAAAAAAAAAAUUUACCAAGCACCGAAAAUCUCACUGGAUCUCUCGAACAUUACCACAUCUCAGAUUAAAUUACAUCAAUAGCAUAAGAAUCAAAGAACAUGAGAAACUCAAACAAACCCUACAAACCCUAGCGAUGCUCCCUCGAUACCAUCAAGCUCCUAAAAUCUCAUCAAACUAACAAAUAAACAACUCCAGAAUCGAUCUAAAACAGCAGAAAGAGUAGAAAAGGUAAGGAUUUUUUGGUUACCAAUUAGAGAUAAUUACGAAACUUGGAUUGAAAUCGACCGAUCUAUUAGGGUUUGAUUGGAGGGGAGGAGCUCCCAAACCCUAAAAUAGAGGGAGAGGAUGGAGAGGAGCCCGCGAAGAUCUCUCCUUAGAGAGAGAGAGAGAGACAGAGAGAGAGAGAGGAGGAGGAGGAGGAGGAGAGAGAGAUUUUCUUUUAUUUUAUUUUAGUUUACCAAAAUAUUUUUUAUUUACUAAAAUUAGGAAGAGAAGGGGUAAAAAUGUCUAGAGACCCUCCAAUAAUUUAUUAUUUACAAAUAGACUCAAUUUGUUUCUCUUGAUUGAAGCCCCUCUAACUUUUGAUUUUUAUUUUUACAAAAAAAGAACUUCAAAUACCACCCCAGUAUUUCCGCAUGUUCUCACUUUAGUAUUUUAUAAUUUAAACCGUAUCACUUUAGUAUUAUGUGAUUUUAUUUUUUUCUUUUCGUUAUCCUCUUUAUUAAUUUUUUUGUUAAAUCAAUAAAAAGUUAAAAUUAUAGAAUACUAAAAUAAAAAUUUCGUAAAUCACAGAAUAUUAAAGUAAUUAUUUGAUAAACUACAGGGGCAUUUGAAGUUUUUUUUAUAUAUAUUUUAACAGAGAGUUAAAUGAUAGAACGACGGAAAGAAAAAAACGAAAUCACAGAGUACUUGAAUCUACAUAGUAUUAAAGUAAAAAAGUGCUAAUCGGGAUAUUUGAAGUUUUUUAUUUUUCUAAUUAAAUUUGCCAAUCAAAAUUAGUAAUAAUUUUAUUAAAUUUGACUACUCUGUCUAUAAAUAUUGAUGCAAUUUUUUAUUUUUUUAUUCAAUUAAUAUAAUGAUUUCGAUAAAUGUAACUAUUUUGAAUGCUUUUAGUUGAUUAAACUGAAUAGCUGAGAGUUAAUGUCGUCAUUAAUUUUUAACAAAUUUUUAAUUUAUUCCAAAAAAAUAUAAUUUAAAUUAUUUAUAAUUAAACGUUAAAGGGAAAGUUAGAGGACCUAUUUCAAAUUUCUCUAUAAGUGAGGGGUCAGGAAAAAUUAGAGUGAAGCAGUGGCAACGACACGUGUAAAGCACGAGAGGGGCUUCGGUGGCAACGACACGUGUAAAGCACACCGAGUCCUCUUUAGCCGUUGGAUCAUCAAUCGACGUUGAUUACACGAUCAAAUAAAUUCCCCGAUUUUGGUUUAAAUAAUAUCUAUUCCGUUCGAGCUCUGAUUCUUCUGGAACCGUUGGAUCAUAAAUCGACGUUGAUUAGAUGAUAUUCUUAGAUACUUCAAAUCUGGGUCUAAAUUCGUGUAUCUGUGUUGGGCCGUACUUGGCCCAAUGGUUAAUUGCACGAUUGGUCCUCAACUUAUGAGGGCGUGACAUUUCGAUCCUCAAACUUUAAUUUAUUCUAAUUUCUGACUCAAACUAUCAGAAUUAAUGUAAUCAAGUUUCAUAAUCUAAUUUAGUCGACGAAAUGAUAACGCAUCGACACAUCUUAAUUUUUAUUAUAUCAUCAAUUACAAUAAUUACACACCACUUUUACAUCAAUAAUUUAUCAAUAUUAAGCCCUAAGGGUGGCAAUUCGGCUCGCUGUUAGUGAGCCAGCUAAUGUUCGCCUCAAAAUGGGCUUGAAAUCGAAUCGCUUAUUUAAAACAAGCCGAGCACGAACUGAAUUUUCCAGCUCGUUUAAUAAACGAGUCGAACGUGAGCUGGGUCAGCUUGCUCGUGAUCGGCUCGAUAACAGUUCAAAUACAUACAUAUAUAUAUACAUAUAUAUAUAUAUAUAUAUAUAUAUAUACACAUAUAUAAUAUAAAUUUUUAUUAUUUGGUUUUUAGUUUAACCUAAAUAUAAAGUCCAACUCAAUUAUAAAAAAAGUCAUUUAUUUGUAAAGUUUUAACUAUUAGAUCAAAGACAAAUGGAUAAGGUCUCAUAAAUUUAUUUUCUAUACGUAUUUUUCAUAAUUCUUUUAACUUGUUAUUCAUGAGCCAGCUCGUGUUUGGACACGAGCUGAAUUUUUCGGCUUGAUACUUUAAUGAGUCAGAUUGUAUUCAGCUCGUUUAUGAAACGAGUCGAAUAUGAGCUGGCCUCAACUCGCCCGUGUUCGGCUCGUUGACACCCCUAAUUUAGCUAACUAAAUUGGGUUGUGGAACUUGAUUGUUUUAAUUUAAAAAGUUCUGCUUAAAGGUUACAACAAGCUAGAGUUUGAGAACCGCAAGUGUUACCUUACCUAUAGUUUGAGCCUGUUAGUUAAUUCGCGAAUUACUGAAAAUUCGAACUAAACGGUUUAUUUACGAAUUUUUUUCAAAGAAAGAGAAUUAUUCGCGAAUUUUUGGGCGAGCCGAAUAAUUCGCGAAUUAUUCUUGAAUUAUUAAAAAUUUGAAUAAAAAAUUUAUAAUUUUUAUGUUUAAAUAUAGAUUAUUUUAUAUAUUAUAUCUUAUAUUUUAUAUUUUAUACCGAAUCCGUUUUUUAAGCCGAAUUUUUCAAUAAAUUUAAAAAUUAGAAAAUAAAUGUUAUACGUAUUAUACCCUUUUAGGCUGCGUUUGGUUGGAGGGAUAUCCCAGAACAAAGCGGGAUAUCCCUCCAAACACAAUGCAUUUUGGAACAAUCGGGUUGUUCCCGGCUUAACGGGUUGUUCCAGAAACAACCCGGUAAGCUUGUUCUCCGGAGAACAAGCCGGAACAAGAGAUUUGGGCUUUUUUUUCUUUUUUUUUUUCUGGCCUUUUAAUUUUUUAUACUUUAUUUUAAUUAAUUUCAAAUAAAUUAAAUGAAUGCUCAAAUUUAAUAAAUAAAUAUAUUAAUAUAAAUAUUAUUUUUAUGAUAAUAAAUUUUAUUAUAUAAUAUAAAUUAAUUAAAUUUGAUAUAUAUUUUAUUUUAUUAAGUUUUAUCAUUUAUAUAUUAAUAUUUAAUUAUUUUAUUUUAUAUUAAUUAUUAUAUACAUAAAAUUAUUUUUUCAUAUAUUAUAUAUA
rnacentral:lncRNA from 1 species